rnacentral:lncRNA from 1 species
GGGAGGGGAGGUUUUCCUUUUUCCUUCUUUUUUUCUUUUCCCUAAUCCCUUUUCUCCUUUAUACAAAUAUUCAUUUAUACUUUCUAGGUGCCAAAAUGAAAUGCUAUGUGUGAGCUGCUACUAGCAAUCAUGGUUUAUGCGUAUGAGAAAUGAAAUGGUUAUGAGAUUAGGCUUUUAAGAGAAAGAAUAAAAAGGGGGGGGGUUAGGAGUUUAAGGCUUCUAACCUUCAAACCAAAAACUAGGAUGCUACAAGGAUCGAUGGACAAAGUCGAUAGUGAACUCAUUGAGUUCUGCAACCCAUUUCAAACCCUUCCUGUGCCUUAUCUAUUUCUUAUAAUAUCUUUUAAGGGUUGAUAUGAAGGUACUAUUAUAUGAUGAGACUGGAAAUAAUACCGAAGCUUUCUAGAGGCCAUCAACACGGCAUAUAGUAUCUUCUCCAAUUCUGUAUAAUUUCUCUUUAACGGGCUCAAGACUUUGGAGGCCAAGUAAACUGGGACUUGUUUCUUUGUCUGUCCAUCUUGCUUUUCUUGGACCUAUGCUGCAUUGAUAGCAUAAUGUGAGGCAGCUACAUACAACAACAAUGGAGCUUAUAAUGAAGGUGGGGAAGGUUGUCAGCUAUAUAAGGUACUGCUUCAAGUCAUCGAAAGCUUUCUGCUGAAUUGGUCCUCAUUGGAAGACUACGACUGAUUUUAACACUUCAAAGAACGAUAGCUUUCUUUCUGCCGACCUUGAGAUGAAUCUAUUCAAUGAUGCAAGUCUUUCUGUCAAUCUCUGAGCACCCUUUCUUGACUUUGGCGGCUCCAUCCGAUGUAUGGCUUCUAUUUUACUCGGGUUAGCUUCGAUUCCUUUGGUUGACACCAGACAUCUAGGGAAUUUGCCCUUCUUUACUCCAAAGAUACAUUUUUCUAGAUUCAAUUUGAGGCCUAUUUUCCUGAAGUUAGCAAAUGUUUCUUGUAAAUCCACAAUGUGAUUUUCUUGCUUCGUACUCUUGACUAUGAUGUCAUCAACAUAUGUCAACACAUUUCUGCCAAUUUGAGUACUCAGCACCUUGGUCGUCAUUCUGCUGAAGCUUCCUCCAGCAUUCUUGAGCCCCUCAGGCAUCCGAAGAUAGCAAUAUGUACCACUGAGGGUUAUGAACCUUGUCUUGGGUUCAUCUUCCUUCUUCAUCCAAAUCUGAUGAUAGGCUGAUUAGCAAUCCAACAGGCUCAUGAGUUUUGAAGUGGCUGCCGCAUCUAUAAGGGAGUCUAUCCUGGGCAAAGGAAACUCAUACUUCGGGCAUGCCUUGUUAAGAUAUGUGAAAUCAAUACACAUUCUAUAUCUCCCGUUGGCCUUUUUUACCAUUACAGUAUUGGCUAACCAUUUUGGGUAUGUUACUUCUCUGAUUACUCCAGCACUUUGAAGCCUUUUAACUUCGUUCCUUGCUCCUUCAACUUUAUCAUCUGACAUUUUCCGAAGCUUCUGCUUUCUUGGUCUGAUAGUGGGAUCUACAUUGAGAGAAUGUUCAAUAAUGUCUCUAUUGACACCACAGAUCAUUGGCUAACCAGGCAAAGACAUCUCUGUUGUUGAACAAGAAUUUUGUUAGAGUCUUUUCUUGCUCCUCCGUUAACUGGGAUCCAAACACCACCUUUUGUUCAGCUAUAUAUUCACACAAGAGCAUAGACUUUGGCUGGUCUGCUAAAGCUGCUUUAUCUCUUAUAUGCUUGUGUUGCUAGUGGGCUUCACCUUCGUCUAUAUUGUGGAUAGCUUUGGAGACUGUCCAAUUUCCUUAAGCUCUUCUAGCAGCCUCUUGGCUUCCAUGCACAACAAUUAGGACCUGGUUCGAUGAUAUUUUCAUGCACAAGUAUGCUGGGUGUAGCACUGCUUUGAAGGCAUUCAAUGUUCCUUUUCCAAUGAUUGCAUUGUAAGGAUACUCUAUGUCUACAAUAUCAAAUACAACUUGCUCAGUUCUGGUGUUGUGUAUGUAGCCGAAGAUAAUUGGCAUUGUUAUCUUUCCGAGUGCUGCUAUCUAUUUUCCUCCGAAGCCACACAGAGGAUGUGUUGCAUCAUGUAUUUGAUCCUCUUGUUCUUGCAUUUGCCUGAAAGCCUUUGCAAAGAUGAUGUCUGUUGCACUGCCUGUAUCCACUAGAACAUUGUGUACCAUAAAUCCUUUUAUGACACAAGAUAUGAGUAUGGCAUCAUUAUGAGGAUAGUCCUUGAGCUGAAGAUCAUCUUGAGAGAAAGUGAUUGGGACAUGAGACCAUUUGGAUUUGAUGUAGUGUCCUUGUACUCCAACAUGUUGUACCCUUCUUUGGGCCUCCUUCUGCUUCUUGUUGGUUAGCUCAAAGCUUGAACCGCCUAUGAUGGGAAGAACGAGCUUCGUCGCCGCAGAUGACGAAGCUUGAUGACUUAGCGAAGCCAUUGUUGUAGUCAUGGAAGUGAGUUCACCGGAGGUGGGCACCAAUGUUGGUUACUUGUUCUUGAUUGAUGUGAAUAAAAAACAAGACAACACAUAUAUUAAAUAUUAAGGACCUUCGUCCUUCAAAGCAUUAUCUUCUUUUAGAGAUAAUAUUUCUUGGACGAAGGUGAUGAAGAUCGGGUCUUCAUCUUUCAUAAAGAUAAUAUUACAAUGUAAUAUCAUAUCAAGUAUUCAUUUUAUUUGACAUGUUAAAGUAAUGUUGUAAUCUGGAUUACAUGCUAAUAAAACAUUUCAAGCGUUACAUUACAUUGGUACCUUCGGCUUGCACAAAAGAGGGAGAAUGUGAGAAUGACUUUCAAUGAAAGCGUGAACAAUAUGGGGGUAUUGUUCAUCUAUUUAUAGGCAUGGGACGCAGCCCAAAUAAAAGUACAAUUAUGAUCCUAAUGCCUAUACAUUGUUCUAAUACAUACCAAGGAUAAAUGGGUCUUUUUACUGUUGAUCUAGUUUCUUGUAUAACCUUCGGGAUCACCUUAAGAAGAAGCUCUAAUUCUUGUCGAGGCUCUGAUGUAUCCUUUGCGUAUCUGCUAUAACUUCGCCAUUCAGUGGGGGCUCAUGUAUAGUGUCAGGCUGAUCAACAAAUAAUGGUUAAGCCAAAGCAUUGCUUUUAAUACGUUGGUCAAGUUUUAUUAGCAGUUACUAAGUACUAGUGUAUACCAACCCAAUAAAAUAGAAGAUCAUUAAUAUAAUAAAACCCACAAUGCAAUGCAUAUGACAAAUUAAGUUUAAUUUCACAAGUUACUCAUGUGAGGGUCCGAGCCGCUCAUGACCGUGAGCAUGGGUGAUAUACUAGUUUUACACUCUGCAGAGGUUGCACAUCUUUACCCACAAGUUGUGUUACCCAUUUGCCAAGGGAUCACGACUUCCCAUUCAUCUCUGCCGAGGAGACGAGGCAUGGUAGCACUACGAGGCCUUUACAAAGUUCCACUAGCUUUAGAAAACCCACUACGGUUUCUGAGGAGAGCGAUAUAGGAAUCCCCCGUCUGAUAAGCCAUCGCAGCAUGAUCAACCAGAGAACCUCCCUAUACCGACAAAUCCCCUACCGCCCUUGCCCCUUCGGGUAAGGUAGUCCACUACCUUUACUAAUUAGUCAUCCAACGAUGUCCCAUACCACCCUUGUGGUAGCACUGUUUUCCCGAGUGGUUCUCCAUGUUCUAGUUAACACAAUAGCCUUAUCAUGAACAAUAAAUAAUUCAAUAACAAUAAAUAGCAUGAUCAUGAUUAAUAUGUAUCAUAACACACAAAACCAGAUAGAGCAAUAGCAAAUGAUACCCAAAAGUUUAGUGGUAAGCAAGGUGUACGGUAAACCAAACUAGGGUGUAACACCCUGAAUUUUGAGUAUAAAAAAUUCUUUGCUCUUUACUCAUAAUUUAGGUGUUAUCCUUUCCUUUAUUCACUUUUCUUUUCCCUUUAUCAAAACACUAGAUAGUUAUUUUGGUUCUAUGUUGGCAUGAACUCUAGAAGUGUCAUGAUUGUUGCAUUCAUAAUGUUGCAUAAUGUUUCUAAGUGCAAGAAGUGUUUGAAUCAUGUUAAUAUAUCUUGUAUAAGUCUUCCACGAAAUUUCAUAUUUUCCUGAAUAUUUUUUCUAAUUUUCGAAAUUCAAAACCUAUUUAUUUGAGAUACUUAAAAAUAUUUUCAAAAGUUCUAAAUAUGUUUUUGAGUUCGUUGGGUGCCAAAUCAUGUCUAGCAAUUUUCCUAUAAUUUUUGGAGCCUUCGAGAUAUUUUUCGGAUAUUAAAAACGAUUUCAGUUUUUUCCUAAAUUACUUUUAAUUUUAAAAAUGGGAUAAUUACGAAAACUAAAAUAUAUUCAAACCUAGCAAUAUAUAUGGCUAGAAUCGACUCGUCGAGCCCAUUCUGAAAAUCGAAACCCCAUCCUCAGUCUAGAUCCGAAACCCCCGGAAUCGCUCACCGAAGAUCGGGACGAUUCUAACUCCGGCGAGCAAUUACUUUCGAUCCAUGCGUCAUUGGCGGAAUCUGAGGGUACCGCUACGUGUGUCUCGUCAAGAGCUUCGUCCCGGUGCUUUCGAUUUGUCGAUCCGACCUCCGGUCCGUCGUCAAUCGACGGAUUUCUCCUCGGCUCCGGCGAACUUCGUCUUCUCCGGUGGGCCUCCACCAUUGUUGUCAUUGUGUUCUUCAUUUUCUCAUCAGGACAGAAUGAGAGAGUUCCUAAGGCUUAAGCCUCUCACAUUCGCCGGAUCUAGCAACCCGCUCGAUGCUGAUGACUGGCUGCGCACAGUAAAGAGGAAGUUAGAGACCAUUGGAUGUCCUGAAAACCAGCGUGUUCACCUAGCUGCUCAUUAGCUCUCCGGGAUGGCCCUAUCCUGGUGGGAUACUUUUAGCGCUGCCGUAAGGGAUGCUACCUGGGUAGAAUUUGAAGCCGCUUUCUGAGAGCACCAUAUGCCUUUGGGAAUCGUCCAGCUCAAGGAAGAGGAAUUUCAGGAGUUAACUCAAGGAGGGCGAUCCGUCAGUGAAUACAUCCACAAAUUCACAGAAUUGGCUCGCUAUGCACCUGAUGAUGUCAGCACGGAAGCCAAGAAGAUGGCCCGUUUCUUGAAGGGGUUAAGACCAGAACUCAAGACCAACCUCACCAGCCAAGACUUCCUCAGUUUCUCGCACCUCUCGAACAAGGCCAUCCAGGUGGAAAGAGCACGAGAAGAAGAAAAAGGUCACCUCAAGAGAAAGUUUCAAGUUCUCCGAGCUCAGCAGCAGGACAGGCACCAGAGGGUUCGAUCUUUUGGGUUCCCUUCCAAAGGGUCGAACUUUAGCAAACCAGUAGGAUCCGCUCCGUCACAUCUCAACCAGCCUGGUCAAAAUUCCUUCCACACCCAAUCUGUUGCAAGUAGCCAACCUCCAACCAAUGCUUGUUGGCACUGUGGAGACCCCAGUCACUUCAAGAAUAAUUGUCCACAGUUGAAGACAUCUGUACCUGCCUACUCCAACUUGGUGAAUGGCCCCAAGAAUGUUUCAGCACCCGCCUCCAAAGCACCCUCCACCAACAGCCAGCUAAGCAAGACCUAGUUUCACGGCAGGGCUCGAGUGAACCACGUCGACGCCCAAGAAGCUCAGCAAGCCCCUGGAGUAGUGCUUGGUGAGUUCCUAGUCGAAUUUACCCCCACUGUUGUACUUUUUGAUUCUACAGCAUCCCAUUCUUUCAUCUCCACUAGUUUUGUGGAAAAGCAUGGCAUCUGAGAGCACCUAGAGGGGGGGGGGGUGAAUAGGUGAUCCUGUAAAAGUUCAAAACUUAAGCCACAAAAACUUGUUAAGGGUUAGCACAAGUAUGACCAAGUGGCUAGAGAGAACUCAAAACAAGAUAACCACAAGAAAGCAAUCACAGAGUUGACACGGUGGUUAUCCCGUGGUUCGGCCAAGUACAAAACUUGCCUACUCCACGUUGUGGCGUCCCAACGGACGAGAGUUGCACUCAACUCCUCUCAAGUGAUCCAAUGAUCAACUUGAAUACCACGGUGUUUUUCUUUCCUUUGAUCUUUUCCCGUUUGCGAGGAAUCUCCACAACUUGGAGUCUCUCGCCCUUACAAUUGAGUUCACAAAGAAAUACGGAGUAAGGUGGGAAUGAGCAACGCACACAAGACUCGAAAAUCAGAGCAACAACACGCACACAAGUCGCAACAAGAGCUCGCAACGCAACACAAAGAGUUCACAACUCCACAAGAGCUCUAUAUGCUAUCACAAUGAAACGAAUGCGUGAGAUUGAUGUCUUGGUGCUUAGAAGAGUUGUAGGAAUGCUUGGUAUGCUCCUCCAUGCGCCUAGGGGUCCCUUUUAUAGCCCCAAGGCAGCUAGGAGCCGUUGAGAGCACAUCUGGAAGGCUAUCCUUGCCUUCUGUCGUCGGGCGCACCGGACAGUCCGGUGCACACCGGACACUGUCCGGUGCCCGAUUUCUUUCCUUAACAGGCGCAGCCGACCGUUGCCGACCACUGCAGAUCUGGCGCACCGGACAGUCCGAUGCACACCGGACAGUCCGGUGCUUCCUUCCGACCGUUGGCUCGGCCACGUGUCGCGCGCCGAUCGCGCGGCCGACCGUUGGCCCGGCCGACCGUUGGCUCACCGGACAGUCCGGUGCACACCGGACAGUCCGGUGAAUUUUAGCCGAAGUCGCCGGAGAAAAACCCGAGAGCGGCCUCUUCGGCCGAGGCAGCCUGGCGCACCGGACACUGUCCGGUGCACCACCGGACACUGUCCGGUGCACCACCGGACAGUCCGGUGCCCCAGACCGAAGCAGCCCCUUGGCUGUACACAGCCAAGUCUUCUCUUCUCUUCUUCUAUCUGUUUCUAACACUUAGACAAAUAUAUUAGUACACAAAACCAAUGUACUAAGGCUUAGAAACAUACCUUAACUUGUGAUUUGCACUUUGAUCAUCCUUGGGCAUAUUUUCACAUUUAAGCACUUGUGUUUGCACUCAAUCACCAAAAUACUUAGAAAUGGCCCAAAGGCACAUUUCCCUUUCAAUCUCCCCCUUUUUGGUGAUUUAUGCCAACACAAUAUAAAGCAACUAGAACAAGUGCAAAAUCACUUUAAAUAAAAACUCAAAUUGGUUUUAUUCAAUUUUGGCAUAUAUGGAUCAUCCUUUGCCACCACUUGGUUUGUUUUUGCAAAUCAAACUCAAAUCUCUAUCUCUAAGUCAAACACACAUGUUGAAGUAUAAAGAGAGUCAUUCCAAAAGAGAUUGAUCAAAGAUUUCAAAAACUCCCCCUAUUUCCCAUAAUCAAUACUUCUCCCCACAAGAAGCCAACUUUUGACAAGAGAGACAAUAAAAGCUUUUGACACAACAAAAACUCUAUUCUACUAUUUUCAAAAUCUCUCAAGUGGUAGCUGAUCCAUUUAUCGCUUUGGCCUUUAUUUUCUCCCCCUUUGGCAUCAAGCACCAAAACGGGAUCAAUCUUGGCCUCUUUAAUCUCAUUGCCUCACCAAAGUCUUCAAAUAAGAUUUCAUGAGAUGAACUUGGAAUUAGUUACCCUCUCAUCGGAGUGCAGUGGAAGUCUUUCAUAGUCCAAGUCCACCUUUUCCCUUUCAAUCCUCCUUUGAGACUCAAUCAAGCAAACUCAAGCAAAUGGUUAGUCUCAAAGGGUCAAGUUGUAACACAUCUCCCCCUAAACAUGUGCAUCACUUUGCAACGGACUUGUGAGGUCCAGGGAGUGUUUGUACAACUUGAGCACCAUAAUAAGCAACAAAAUGCAAAAAGGAACAUGAUCAAAAGCAUAAGUACAUGUAUGCUACAAUUCAAUCCAGGUUCCGCGAAUCUAUGACAUUUAGCUCACUACGCAACCUGCAAAAGGUCUUCUCAUCUAGAGGCUUAGUGAAGAUAUCGGCUAGCUGGUUCUCGGUGCUAACAUGAAACACUUCGAUAUCUCCCUUUUGCUGGUGGUCUCUCAAAAAGUGAUGCCGGAUGUCUAUGUGCUUUGUGCGGCUGUGCUCAACAGGAUUCUCCGCCAUGCGGAUAGCACUCUCAUUGUCACAUAGGAGUGGGACUUUGCUCAGAUUGUAGCCAAAGUCCCGGAGGGUUUGCCUCAUCCAAAGUAGUUGCGCGCAACACUGUCCUGCGGCAACAUACUCGGCCUCAGCGGUGGAUAGGGCAACGGAUGUUUGUUUCUUAGAGUUCCAUGACACCAGGGACCUUCCUAAGAAUUGGCACGUCCCCGAUGUACUCUUCCUAUCGACCUUACAUCCAGCAUAGUCGGAGUCUGAGUAUCCAACUAAGUCAAAGGUAGACCCUUUUGGAUACCAGAGCCCGAAGCAAGGCGUAGCAACCAAAUAUCUAAGAAUUCGCUUCACCGCCACUAAGUGACACUCCUUAGGAUCGGAUUGAAAUCUAGCACACAUGCAUACGCUAAGCAUAAUAUCCGGUCUACUAGCACAUAAAUAAAGCAAAGAACCUAUCAUUGACCGGUAUGCUUUUUGAUCAACGGACUUACCUCCUUUGUUGAGGUCGGUGUGUCCGUCGGUCCCCAUCGGAGUCUUGGCGGGCUUGGCGUCCUUCAUCCCAAACCGCUUUAGCAGAUCUUGCGUGUACUUCGUUUGGGAGAGGAAGGUGCCGUCCUUGAGUUGUUUCACUUGGAACCCAAGGAAGUAGUUCAACUCGCCCAUCAUUGACAUUUCGAAUUUCUGCGUCAUCACCCUGCUAAACUCUUCACAAGACUUUUGGUUAGUAGAACCAAAUAUUAUGUCAUCGACAUAAAUUUGGCACACAAACAAAUCACCAUCACAUGUCUUUGUAAAAAGAGUUGGAUCGGCCUUCCCAACCUUGAAAGCAUUAGCAAGUAAAAAGUCUCUAAGGCAUUCAUACCAUGCUCUUGGGGCUUGCUUAAGUCCAUAGAGCGCCUUAGAGAGCUUACACACAUGGUCGGGGAACCGUUCAUCCUCGAAGCCAGGGGGUUGCUCCACGUACACUUCCUCCUUGAUUGGCCCGUUGAGAAAAGCGCUCUUCACAUCCAUUUGGUACAACCUGAAAGAAUGGUGAGCGGCAUAUGCUAGCAAGAUUCGAAUUGACUCUAGCCUAGCCACAGGAGCAAAAGUCUCCUCGAAAUCCAAACCUGCGACUUGGGCAUAACCUUUUGCCACAAGUCGAGCCUUGUUUCUCGUCACCACCCCGUGCUCGUCCUGUUUGUUGCGGAACACCCACUUGGUUCCCACAACAUUUUGCUUCGGACGAGGCACCAGUGUCCAAACUUCAUUGCGUUUGAAGUUGUUUAACUCCUCUUGCAUGGCCAACACCCAGUCCGGAUCUAGCAAGGCCUCUUCUACCCUGAAAGGCUCAAUAGAAGAGACAAAGGAGUAAUGCUCACAAAAAUUAACUAAUCGAGAUCGAGUAGUUACUCCCUUGCUAAUGUCACCCAGAAUUUGGUCGACGGGAUGAUCCCUUUGAAUCAUCGCUCGAACUUGGGUUGGAGGUGCCGGUUGCACUUCUUCCUCCAUCACAUGAUUAUCUUGUGCUCCCCCUUGAUCACAUGCCUCCUGUUGAUGAACCUGUUCAUCGUCUUGAGUUGGGGGUAGCACCAUGGUCGAGGAAGAAGGUUGAUGUCGUUUAUCUUGUUCCUGUGGCCGUACUUCUCCAAUCGCCAUGGUUCGUAUAGCGGCUGUCGGAACAUCUUCUUCAUCUACAUCAUCAUAAUCAACAACUUGCUCUCUUGGAGAGCCAUUAGUCUCAUCAAAUACAACGUCUCUAGAGACUUCAACCAAACCCGAUGAUUUGUUGAAGACUCUAUACGCCUUUGUAUUUGAGUCAUAACCUAAUAAAAACCCUUCUACAGCUUUGGGAGCAAACUUAGAAUUUCUACCCUUCUUCACUAGAAUGUAGCAUUUACUCCCAAAUACACGAAAGUACGAUACAUUGGGUUUGUUACCGGUUAGAAGCUCAUACGACGUCUUCUUGAGGAGGCGAUGAAGGUAGACCCUGUUGAUGGCGUGGCAAGCCGUGUUCACGGCUUCCGACCAAAAAUGCUCGGGGGUCUUGAACUCUCCUAGCAUCGUCCUCGCCAUAUCGAUGAGCGUCCUGUUCUUCCUCUCUACCACACCAUUUUGCUGUGGUGUGUAGGGAGCGGAGAACUCGUGCUUGAUCCCUUCUUCUUCAAGGAACUCCUCCACUUGAAGGUUCUUGAACUCAGAUCCGUUGUCGCUCCUUAUCUUCUUCACUUUGAGCUCAAACUCAUUUUGAGCUCUCCUGAGGAAGCGUUUGAGGGUCCCUUGGGUUUCGGACUUUUCCUGCAAAAAGAACACCCAAGUGAAGCGGGAAAAGUCAUCAACAAUAACUAGACCAUACUUACUCCCUCCUAUGCUUAGAUAGGCGACGGGUCCGAAGAGGUCCAUAUGCAGCAGCUCCAGGGGUCUUGAAGUGGUCAUCACGUUCUUGCCGUGAUGCGUUCCUCCCACUUGUUUACCUGCUUGACAAGCUGCACAAGGUCUAUCUUUUUCGAAAUGCACGUUAGUCAAACCUAUCACGUGUUCUCCCUUUAGAAGCUUUUGAAGGUUCUUCAUCCCCACAUGUGCUAAGCGGCGAUGCCACAGCCAGCCCAUGCUAGUCUUAGCUAUUAAGCAUGCAUCUAGACCGGCCUCUUCUUUUGCAAAAUCAACUAAAUAAAGUUUGCCGUCUAAUACACCCUUAAAAGCUAGUGAACCAUCACUUCUUCUAAAGACAGACAUAUCUACAUUUGUAAAUAGACAAUUAUACCCCAUAUGACAUAAUUGACUCACAGAUAGCAGAUUAUAUCCAAGAGACUCAACUAAAAACACAUUAGAUAUGGAGUGCUCAUUAGAAAUUGCAAUUUUACCUAAACCUUUUACCUUGCCUUGAUUCCCAUCACCGAAUAUAAUUGAAUCUUGGGAAUCUUUAUUCUUGACGUAGGAGGUGAACAUCUUCUUCUCCCCCGUCAUAUGGUUUGUGCAUCCGCUGUCGAUAAUCCAGCUUGAACCCCCGGAUGCAUAAACCUGCAAGGCAAAUUUAGGCUUGGGACUUAGGUACCCAACUCUUGUUGGGUCCUACAAGGUUAGUCACAAUUUCCUUAGGGACCCAAAUGCAAGUUUUAUCACCUUUGCAUUUUGCCCCUAACUUCCUAGCAAUUACUUUUCUAUCCUUUCUACAAAUUGCAAAUGAAGUAUUCAAAGCACAAUAAAUUGUAGAAGGUUCAUUCACUACUUUCCUAGGAGCAUGAAUAACAUUCUUUCUAGGCACAUGAUGAAUAGCAUUUCUCCUAGACAUAUUUCUACCAUGCAUAACAUGAGAACUAGAAGCAGUCAUAGCAUAAGAGUCAUAAGCAUGUGAAUCAAACACAUCAUGACCUCUAAAAGCAUUUCUAGAAUAUCUCCUAUCAUAGUACAUAAAAGCAUGGUUCUUUUGCACAUUACUAACCAUAGGGGCCUUCCCUUUCUCCUUGGCGAGAAUGGGAGCCUUAUGGCUUGUUAAGUUCUUAGCUUCUCUCUUGAAGCCAAGUCCAUCCUUAAUUGAGGGGUGUCUGCCAAUUGUGUAGGCAUCCCUUGCAAAUUUUAGCUUAUCAAAAUCAUUCUUGCUAGUCUUAAGUUGAGCAUUAAGACUAGCCAGUUCAUCAUUAAGCUUGGAAAUUGAAACUAGGUGUUCACUACAAGCAUCAAUGUCAAAAUCUUUACACCUAGUACAAAUUUCAACAUGUUCUACACAAGAAUUGGAUUUAUUUGCUACUUCUAAUUUAGCAUUUAAAUCAUUGUUGACACCUUUCAAAGUAGAAAUGGUUUCAUGACAAGUAGAUAGUUCAAAAGAAAGCAUUUCAUUUCUUUUAACUUCUAAAGUAUAGGAUUUUUGUGCCUCAACAAAUUUAUCAUGCUCUUCAUACAACAAAUCCUCUUGCUUUUCUAAAAGUAUAUUCUUUUCAUUCAAGGCAUCAAUUAAUUCAUUAAUUUUGUCUAUCUUAGAUCUAUCUAAGCCCUUGAACAAACAUGAAUAAUCUACUUCAUCCUCAUCACUAGAUUCGUCCUCACUUGAAGAAGCAUAGGUAGAGUUGCGAGUACAUACCUUCUUCUCCCUUGCCAUAAGGCAUGUGUGACGCUCGUUGGGGAAGAGGGUUGAUUUGUUGAAGGCGGUGGCGGCGAGUCCUUCAUUGUCGGAGUCGGACGAGGAGCAAUCCGAGUCCCACUCCUUGCCUAGAUGCGCCUCGCCCUUUGCCUUCUUGUAAUGCUUCUUCUUUUCCCUCUUGUUUCCCUUUUCCUGGUCACUAUCAUUAUCGGGACAGUUAGCAAUAAAAUGACCAAGCUUACCGCAUUUGAAGCAUGAUCGCUUCCCCUUGGUCUUAGUCUUGCUCGGCUGUCCAUUGCGACCCUUUAGCACCGUCUUGAAUCUCUUGAUAAUGAGGGCCAUUUCUUCUUCAUUAAGACCGGCCGCCUCAAUUUGCGCCACCUUGCUGGGUAGCGCCUCCUUGUUCCCUGUGGCUUUGAGAGCAAAAGGUUGCGGCUCGUUGAUCGGUCCAUUCAAGGCGUCGUCCACAUACCUUGCCUCCUUGAUCAUCAUUCGCCCGCUGACGAAUUUUCCUAGGACUUCUUCGGGCGACAUUUUGGUGUACCUGGGAUUCUCACGAAUAUUAUUCACCAGAUGAGGAUCAAGAACGGUAAAGGACCUGAGCAUUAGUCGGACGACGUCGUGGUCCGUCCAUCGCGUGCUUCCGUAGCUCCUUAUUUUGUUGAUAAGGGUCUUGAGCCGGUUGUAUGUCUGAGUUGGCUCCUCGCCCCUUAUCAUCGCGAACCGUCCAAGCUCGCCCUCCACCAACUCCAUUUUGGUGAGCAAGGUAGCGUCAUUUCCCUCAUGAGAGAUCUUGAGGGUAUCCCAGAUUUGCUUGGCGUUAUCCAAGCCACUCACUUUAUUAUAUUCAUCCCUGCACAAUGAGGCUAGAAGAACAGUAGUAGCUUGUGCAUUCUUAUGGAUUUGCUCAUUAAUGAAUAUAGGACUAUCCGAACUAUUAAAGUGCAUUCCACUAUCUACAAUCUCCCAUAUGCUAGGAUGGAGAGAGAAUAGGUGACUACGCAUUUUGUGGCUCCAAAAUCCGUAGUCCUCCCCAUCAAAGUGUGGGGGCUUGCCGAGUGGAAUAGAAAGCAAAUGUGAAUUUGAACUUUGCGGAAUACGAGAGUAGUCAAAAGAAAAGUUAGAAUUAACCGGUUUCCUUUGUCUGUCGUGGUCGUCGUCCUUUUGGGAAGAAGAGGACUCAUCGCUGUCGUAGUAGACGAUCUCCUUGAUGCGUCUUGUCUUCUUCUUCUUCCCAUCUCUUCGCUUGUGGCCCGAGCCCGAGUCAUUGGACUUGUCAUCCCUUGGCUCGUUGACGAAGGACUCCUUCUCCUUGUCGUUGAUCACAAUUCCCUUCCCCUUAGGAUCCAUCUCUUCGGGCGGUUAGUCCCUUUCUUGAAGAGAACGGCUCCGAUACCAAUUGAGAGCACCUAGAGGGGGGGGUGAAUAGGUGAUCCUGUAAAAGUUCAAAACUUAAGCCACAAAAACUUGUUAAGGGUUAGCACAAGUAUGACCAAGUGGCUAGAGAGAACUCAAAACAAGAUAACCACAAGAAAGCAAUCACAGAGUUGACACGGUGGUUAUCCCGUGGUUCGGCCAAGUACAAAACUUGCCUACUCCACGUUGUGGCGUCCCAACGGACGAGAGUUGCACUCAACUCCUCUCAAGUGAUCCAAUGAUCAACUUGAAUACCACGGUGUUUUUCUUUCCUUUGAUCUUUUCCUGUUUGCGAGGAAUCUCCACAACUUGGAGUCUCUCGCCCUUACAAUUGAGUUCACAAAGAAAUACGGAGUAAGGUGGGAAUGAGCAACGCACACAAGACUCGAAAAUCAGAGCAACAACACGCACACAAGUCGCAACAAGAGCUCGCAACGCAACACAAAGAGUUCACAACUCCACAAGAGCUCUAUAUGCUAUCACAAUGAAACGAAUGCGUGAGAUUGAUGUCUUGGUGCUUAGAAGAGUUGUAGGAAUGCUUGGUAUGCUCCUCCAUGCGCCUAGGGGUCCCUUUUAUAGCCCCAAGGCAGCUAGGAGCCGUUGAGAGCACAUCUGGAAGGCUAUCCUUGCCUUCUGUCGUCGGGCGCACCGGACAGUCCGGUGCACACCGGACACUGUCCGGUGCCCGAUUUCUUUCCUUAACAGGCGCAGCCGACCGUUGCCGACCACUGCAGAUCUGGCGCACCGGACAGUCCGAUGCACACCGGACAGUCCGGUGCUUCCUUCCGACCGUUGGCUCGGCCACGUGUCGCGCGCCGAUCGCGCGGCCGACCGUUGGCUCACCGGACAGUCCGGUGCACACCGGACAGUCCGGUGCACACCGGACAGUCCGGUGCACACCGGACAGUCCGGUGAAUUUUAGCCGAAGUCGCCGGAGAAAAACCCGAGAGCGGCCUCUUCGGCCGAGGCAGCCUGGCGCACCGGACACUGUCCGGUGCACCACCGGACACUGUCCGGUGCACCACCGGACAGUCCGGUGCCCCAGACCGAAGCAGCCCCUUGGCUGUACACAGCCAAGUCUUCUCUUCUCUUCUUCUAUCUGUUUCUAACACUUAGACAAAUAUAUUAGUACACAAAACCAAUGUACUAAGGCUUAGAAACAUACCUUAACUUGUGAUUUGCACUUUGAUCAUCCUUGGGCAUAUUUUCACAUUUAAGCACUUGUGUUUGCACUCAAUCACCAAAAUACUUAGAAAUGGCCCAAAGGCACAUUUCCCUUUCAGCAUCCCCACUGCAUCUUUAGAUAUCCCUUUGGUCACUCGAACCCCAGGGUCAGACCUUCUAUGCCACCUCAAAUGCUCCCAAGUUAGAAUUCUUUUAAGUGGGGUAGUAUUCUUGGCAGACUAAGUCGUACUACCAUCCCACGAAAUUGAUGUGAUCCUAGGAAUGGAUUGGUUGACCCAGCACAAUGGUAUCAUAAGCUGCACAGAUAGGACUAUUCUUCUCACUGACCACAAAGGAAAAUCAGUUUCGUGUAAAGCUCAUCCACCGACCCAAAAUCCAGUGGUGUUCAGCCUAGCAGUAGAAAGUAUAUCUGUGGUAGAAGAAUUCAUGGAUGUGUUUCCAGAAGAGUUGCCAGGAAUACCUCCGUAAAGAGAGGUAGAAUUCUACAUUGAUCUCCUCCCAGGCACCGCACCAAUCGCAAAGAGACCAUACCGCAUGGCCCCCACAGAAUUGGUAGAACUGAAGCUUCAAAUCGCAGAACUUCAACAAAAAGGGUAUAUUCGUCCUAGCUCAUCCCCUUGGGGAGCACCAGUAUUGUUUGUCACCAAGAAGGAUGGGAGCAUGAGAAUGUGCAUUGAUUACCGAUCCUUAAAUGAAGUUACAAUCAAGAACAAGUAUCCACUACCUCGGAUUGAUGACCUUUUUGACCAACUUCAAGGGGCCAAGUAUUUAUCCAAGAUUGAUCUAAGGUCAAGAUAUCAUCAGUUGAGAAUCAAGGAAGCGGACAUUCAGAAGACAACAUUUGUCACCCGGUAUGGUCAGUACGAGUUUACAGUAAUGCCCUUUGGACUAACCAACGCACCUGCCUUCUUCAUGAAUCUUAUGAAUAAGGUGUUUAUGGAAGAGUUGGAUAAGUUUGUCAUAGUCUUUAUUGGCGACAUCCUUAUCUACUCCAAAAGUCGUGAGGAUCAUGAGCAUCACCUCCGGAUUGUCCUCGGAAGACUCAGAGCGCAUCAACUCUAUGCCAAGCUCAGCAAAUGCGAAUUUUGGUUAGAAAAGAUAGCCUUCCUCGGGCAUAUCUUGACUGCAGAAGGGAUAGAAGUGGAUCCGUCCAAGGUAGAAGCAGUAUCCAAAUGGAAGCAGCCAUCCAACGUUAGUGAAGUUCGAAGCUUCUUGGGAAUGGCGGGAUAUUACCGUCGUUUUAUCAAAGGAUUCUCCAGCAUUGCAUGACCCAUGACCGAACUCAUCAAGAAAGACAACAAAUUUGUGUGGACCCCAAAGUGUGAAGAAAGUUUCCAAGUCACAAAGAAGAAACUCACAACCGCACCAGUAUUGACACUGCUAGACAUCCACGAAAGCUUUGUCAUCUUCUGGGAUGCUUCAAGACAAGGUUUGGGAUGCGUGCUUAGGCAGAAUGAGAAAGUCAUCGCCUAUGCAUCUCGCCUACUCAAACCUCAUGAACAGAAUUAUCCAAUCGAUGAUUUGGAAUUAGCAGCCAUAUUGCAUGCUCUUAAGAUAUGGAGACACUACCUAAUUGGGAACAAAUGUCACAUAUUCAUAGAUCACAAGUCUGAAGUACAUCUUCACCCAACCAGAUCUCAAUUUCCGUUAGCGAAGAUGGCUAGAGCUAAUUAAGGAUUAUGACAUUGAAAUCCACUACCACCUAGGAAAGGCUAACGUAGUAGCUGACGCCCUCAGCCGAAAACCUUUCGGGAAGAAAGCAACAAACUUCCUAGAAGGCUGGAAGAAACAAUCGGCACAACUGAAUGCUUAUUUGGGAGAAAAUGACAGUAUCAAAGUUAAACCGAUACUGGAAGAUCUCAUUCGCAAAGCUCAGUGCUUGGACACCGAGAUAACAGGACUUGCAUAAAAGGGUAGCAAAGAACAACUCCUGGAUAUCAGGAUAGAUGAAAAGGGGACUGUUGGGGGCCUUCGGCUUCCGAAGGUCCUCAAAAACAAGAUUUAACAGUGUUUCUGGAGUAUAAUGUGUGAACAGGUAUCUUCGGACUCGAGUCGAUAUCACAGUAGGAGAAGCCCAAAUAAUACGAAGGUUGAUACAGCGCCGAAGAUGUGAGCAGGAAAGCUUCGGCGUGGUAGCAGAAAAGGAAACCGACUUAAAGAUGAAAAGGCUAUUCAGGCCUCGGUGGAUUACUAUAGAAUUACUACCAAAUGUAAAGGGCAUGGAUGUAAUUUUAUAUGGGUUGUGUCCCGUGCCUAUAAAUAGGUGAACAGUACCCCCGUACUGCUCACGCUGACUUGGCAUUUGCUUUUGCGUCACGCUUGUACUUUCGCCUUCUUUCAAGCCGAAGGUACAUUAGUAAUUUGAUAUUAUUUCUACUUUUCUAUAAUAAUAAUACAGAAAUGAAUUGAUAAUAAUACAUAAUGGUUUAUGCUAUCUUUUGUGUCUCAUAUGAUUCCUUCUUCAUUAUUAUAUGUUGAUAUUAUGAAGGUAUGUCCUUCAUAACCUUCGUCCGAAAAUCAUUAUGUCCUAAGGGAAAUAAUGCUUCGAAGGACGAAGGACUUUAACGUUUAACAUUUCUUGUGUUGCCUUGUUCUUAAUUCAUAGCAUUUGAGAACAAGUCCCCAACAUUGGCGCCCACCUCCGGUGAACUCACUUCCACUCUUUGAGUUUUGAACACCUUCGGCGAUCAUAAACCUUCGCUAUGGCGCCGAAGAAAGCUUCAGCAACUGGGGCUGCAGCUCUGCAACCGCUAGACCCCAAUUAGGAGACUCUCUCCCUUCGGGAGGCCCGAAGCCAGAAGAGGAAGGCUGUCAGCCCGACACCGCCAGAGGAUGAGCUAGACCAAGAAAUCAGAGACAUGGAGAUGCUUCAUCAACAGGUGCAGAGGAAGAAGGAAAAGAUGGCCAGGCUAGAUGAACUGCAAAGGCAGAUAGACGAAGCCUCUGAAGAAGUUCGUCAUCUUACUCAGGAUGAGCAGAACCGAAGGCCUCAGAAUAAAGACCUUCAUCAGGAGGGUUUCCUCAACGAAGAUGACUGGUAUGAGAAUUUUCACCAUGGAAAUUUUGCUUUUGAUGAUGCUUCUCCUCUGUCCGCUGAGCUGCAGGCUACACCUUGGCCUCCGUCCUACAAGCCGCCUCAGCUUCCCAUAUUCGACGGCCAUUCAGACCCGAAGCAGUUUCUGAUGAGCUACGAAGCAACAGUAUCUUCGUAUGGUGGCAAUACUGCAGUCAUGGCAAAAUCUUUUGUUAUGGCUGUCAGGAGUGUUGCUCAAACCUGGUAUUCCUCCCUUCGGCCAGGAACGAUCACUUCAUGGCAAAAGCUGAAGGACAUGUUGUUAACCAGCUUCCAAGGGUUUCAGACGAAGCCGGUCACUGCUCAAGCUCUAUUCCAGUGCACCCAGGAUCACGAAGAAUACCUUCAGGCGUAUGUCCGGAGGUUCUUGCGUUUGAGGGCACAGGCACCAACAGUGCCCAAUGAAAUUGUCAUUGAGGCCAUGAUCAAGGGACUUCGGCCAGGACCUUCAGCUCAGUACUUUGCUAGGAAGCCUCCUCAAACUUUGGAGAAGCUGCUCCAGAAGAUGGACGAAUAUAUUCGUGCUGACAAUGAUUUUCGUCAAAGAAGGGAGGAGGCUUUCAGGUUUUCUGAAAUGACCAGGGGCUUCGGAGGAAGAUUUUAUCCGAGGCAUGUUAGGUCAAUUCACAACUCUACUCAAAAUGAUGAUAAGGGAAGUCAAUAGCAAAGGCCACAGUGCUCCUCACAGGCUUCGGGGCAACAGCAAAGCUCCUUCCGGCCGCCAGCUCCAAGAGGCAGAGGCGCCAGGGGCUUCGGCGGAAGGUUUGGAGAUCAACCAAGGAGAAUAUUUUGCUUGUUCUGUGGUGAAAACAAGGGCCAUACCACCAGGAUGUGCCAUGUUACUAUCCAGAAGCAAAAGGAGAUAGCCGAAGCUGCAGCACAACAGGCUCAGCCGAAGCAAAUCAUGCACACUGCUUCGUAUCAUUCGCCUUACAUCCCAGAAUAUGUAGGCAACCACCCUGCAGUUUCUGUUGCUUCGGCGAGUCAACCUCAAGCUUCCUGGCAACAGCCUCCGCCUCCACCACCGCUGCAACAAGGCCAGCAGCCAGAAGGGGGCCAAUAUGCUCAACACCAAAGGGACUUCAGAGAACAGUCCGAAGCUCGCACAGUCAAUAGCACUGUGCCAGAGUCGAAGCACAUCUAUUGACAAAUAUCCUACCUUGAUAGUAGUCUUUUCCAUUCAGUUUUAUUUUCUGUGUAAUAAAGGACAUUUUUUAAAUUUCAUGUAAUAGUUUCGUUGUUUGCCACAAGGAAAAUAUAUUUAUUAUUCUAACAAAUUAAUAUUGCGAGGGGCUACUGUUGGGGGCCUUCGGCUUCCGAAGGUCCUCAAAAACAAGAUUUAACAGUGUUUCUGGAGUAUAAUGUGUGAACAGGUAUCUUCGGACUCGAGUCGAUAUCACAGUAGGAGAAGCCCAAAUAAUACGAAGGUUGAUACAGCGCCGAAGAUUUGAGCAGGAAAGCUUCGGCGUGGUAGCAGAAAAGGAAACCGACUUAAAGAUGAAAAGGCUAUUCAGGCCUCGGUGGAUUACUAUAGAAUUACUACCAAAUGUAAAGGGCAUGGAUGUAAUUUUAUAUGGGUUGUGUCCCGUGCCUAUAAAUAGGUGAACAGUACCCCCGUACUGCUCACACUGACUUGGCAUUUGCUUUUGUGUCACGCUUGUACUUUCGCCUUCUUUCAUGUCGAAGGUACAUUUGUAAUUUGAUAUUAUUUCUACUUUUCUAUAAUAAUAAUACAGAAAUGAAUUGAUAAUAAUACAUAAUGGUUUAUGCUAUCUUUUGUGUCUCAUAUGAUUCCUUCUUCAUUAUUAUAUGUUGAAUUUAUGAAGGUAUGUCCUUCAUAACCUUCGUCCGAAAAUCAUUAUGUCCUAAGGGAAAUAAUGCUUCGAAGGACGAAGGACUUUAACGUUUAACAUUUCUUGUGUUGCCUUGUUCUUAAUUCAUAGCAUUUGAGAACAAGUCCCCAACAGGGACCCUUUGGUUUAGGAACCAUCUGUGUGUACCGAAGGGAGAGGCACAAGAAAUCCUGCUAGAUGAAGCCCACAACUCAGCCUAUUCUAUCCACCCAGGGUCUACCAAGAUGUACCUAGACCUCAAAGCUAGAUACUGGUGGAGAGGAAUGAAAAAAGAGAUAGCUCAGUAUGUGGCCCGGUGUGAUACUUGUCGAUGAACUACGCAGAACAUCAGAGGCCCGCAGGCCUACUGCAACCCCUUUCAGUGCCCAAAUGGAAGUGGGAAGAAAUAGGCAUGGACUUCAUAAUCGUACUGCCCCGAACCCAAAAGGGGAACGAUUCUAUCUGAGUUAUAAUUGGCCAUCUUACUGAAGUAGCUCACUUCAUUCCCGUAAAGACUACCUUUGGAGGAGCCACCCUCGCCCGGAUAUAUCUCAAAGAAAUAGUCAGACUUCAUGGCAUUCCGCGAAGAAUAGUGUCAGACAGGGGAACGCAAUUCACCUCAAAAUUUUGGUUGAGCCUUCAGCAAGCUAUGGGCACCAAGCUAGACUUCAACACCGCCUACCACCCCCAGUCAGAUGGACAAACAGAAAGAGUCAACAAAGUCCUCAAAGAUUUGUUGAGAGCCUGUGUGCUGACCUUCGACAGAGACUGGGAGUCCAGUUUGCCGUAUGCAGAAUUCUCGUACAACAACAGUUACAAGGCCAUCAUCAAGAUGUCACCUUUUGAAGCCUUGUAUGGAAGGAGGUGCCAAACCCCUCUGAUGGGGUCAAACAUAGGGGAAAAGACCCUAGAAGGACCUGCCUUCAUCAAGGAGGCAGAAGAGAAAGUUUCCCUGAUCCACAGGAGAUUACUCGAAGCACAGAGUCAGCAAAAGAGUUACGCAGACAAUAGAAGGAGAGAACUCAGUUUCGAGGAAGGAGAUUUUGUCUACCUCAAGGUCUCCCCAAUGCGUGGAGUCAAAAGAUUCCAAGCAAAAGGGAAGCUAGCUCCGUGAUUCGUCGGCCCCUAUCCUAUCAUUGGUAGAAUAGGACCAGCAGCUUACCGCCUUCAGUUACCAGAGUCCAUGUCAGAUAUCCAUAAUGUAUUUCAUGUAUCUUAGCUCCAAAAAUGCAUAAAAGUACCAGAGAGUCACAUCGCAGAGGAGUCAGUUCAGAUUCAGAAAGAUCUGUAGUAUCGAGAAAAGCCAGUGAAGAUUCUCGAUUCAGCCAUUCGAAAGACUCGAAACUCAGAAGUAAGGCUCUGUAAAGUCCAGUGGAGCAGAGAAGGAGAAGAGGAGGCUACCUGGGAGAGUGAGGACUCAUUGAGGAAGAAAUACCCUUACCUUUUUCUCAAACCUAGCCUGAAUCUCGAGGGCGAGAUUCUUUUAAGUGGGGUAGGUCUGUAACAUCCCAGUUUUGAUCCCAAGGUUAGAAACCCUAAACUCCUAACCCCCCCAUUAUUUUCUCCUAAGAUCUCAUCUCAUGAAGCAUUUUAUUCAUCAUAUGCAUACACCAUGAUUGCUAGUAACACUUCACAUAGAAUACUUCAUUUUGGCACCUAAGAAAUAUAGAUGAAUAUUUGUUCAAAGGAGAAAAGGGAUUAAGGAAAAGAAAAGAGAAAAGAAAAAGAAAAAGAAAAAGGAAAAUCCCUCUCCCCCUCGGCUGGGCUGGAUCCGGCCCAAGCUCUCCCCCUCUCUCUUCCCCGCGCGUCCGUGUUCCUCUCCCUCCACUCGCGGCCCACGCGGCCCAUCCGCCCGCGCGCGUGCCGCGCUCUCCCCCUCUCCCGCUGACCGCCCGACCCCGCCUGUCAGCCACACCCGCCCCCUCUCCCUCGCGCCCGCUCUUCCGCUGGCAGACGGGCCCCAUUCGUCAGUCCCUUCUCCCUCACCCGUGAUCGGCCAUCGACGCGAUCGUCGUCGGCCACCAUCCGCCCCGUCUCCUCGCCAUUACUCGCUCACUAGUAAGAUUUGGCACCAAGCAUCCCCGCGCACUGUGACCAGGUGACCACUCGCCCCCGCCUGCACCGAGCCGUCCUAUCGCCACCACUAUGCCACCAUCAUCGCCGCCUCAGCGCCGCCUCGCUGGUGCCCAACGGCCUCCACCCUCCCCUCCCCAGACGCCUAUAAAGGGCCACCCCAAGCCCCUCAUCUCCUCGCACCGACCUCGGCCAUCCCUCACCACUCCCCCGAGCUCAAUCGAGCCAAUGCCGCCGCUCUCUCCCUCCGCUCCGGUGAGUUCCCCCUCUCUUCUCUAGUAGCCUAAGGUCCAAUUAAGUUAGCUCACAAACUUUACCACCUCUCCACGAUCACGAGGCACCACUUUUGCCUCCCCAGUCAUGCCCAGUGGCCUCACCGGCGAUCACGCCGUCGCGGAGCCCGCUGAAAGUCGCCUAGAGGGGGGGUGAAUAAAGCGAAUCUGAAAUUUACAAACUUUAAGCACAACUACAAGCCGGGGUUAGCGUUAGAAAUAUAAAUGAGUCCGAAAGAGAGGGCGAAAACAAAUCACAAGCAAAUAAGGCGGAUGACACGAUGAUUUGUUUUACUGAGGUUCGGUUCUUGCAAACCUACUCCCCGUUGAGGUGGUCACAAAGACCGGGUCUCUUUCAACCCUUUCCCUCUCUCAAACGGUCACUUAGACCGAGUGAGCUUCUCUUCUCAAUCAAACGAGACACUAAGUCCCCACAAGGACCACCACACAAUUGGUGUCUCUUGCCUUGGUUACAAUUGAGUUGAAAUCAAAAAAGAAUGAGGAAGAAAAGCAAUCCAAGCGCAAGAGCUCAAAUGAACACAAGUAUCUCUCUCUCACUAGUCACUAUUUGAUUGGAAUUGUCUUUGGACUUGGGAGAGGAUUUGAUCUCUUUGGUUGUGUCUUGUAUUGAAUGUUAUAGCUCUUGUAUGAGGUGUGAAGGCUGAAAACUUGGAUACGUUGAAGUGUGGUGGUUGGGGGGUAUUUAUAGCCCCAACCACCAAAAGAACCGUUGGUGAGGGCUUCUGUCGUAUGGCGCACCGAACAGUCCGGUGCGCCACCGGACAAUGUCCAGUGCGCCAGCCACGUCACCAGGCCGUUGGAUUCUGACCGUUGGAGCUUCUGACUUCUGGUGCACCGGACAGUCCGGUGGUCCACCGGACAGGUUCUGUAGACUGUCCGGUGCGCCUUCUAGCUCUGCUCUGACUUCUGCGCGCACUGUAGCGCAUUAACUGCUCCCUGCAGACGACCGUUGGCACGAAGUAGUCGUUGCUCCGCUGGCACACCGGACAGUUCGGUGCUACACCGGACAGUCCGGUGAAUUAUAGCGGAGCGGCUCCCAGAUUUCCCGAAGGUGAGCAGUUCGGAGUUGGGUUCCCUGGUGCACCGGACACUGUCCGGUGGUGCACCGGACAGUCCGGUGCGCCAGACCAGGGCACACUUUGGCAGUCUUUUGCUCUCUUUGUUUGAACCCUUUCUUGGUCUUUUUAUUGGUUUGUUGUGAACCUUUGGCACCUGUAAAACUUAUAAUCUAGAGCAAACUAGUUAGUCCAAUUAUUUGUGUUGGGCAAUUCAACCACCAAAAUCAAUUAGAAAAAGGUGUAAGCCUAUUUCCCUUUCAAUCUCCCCCUUUUUGGUGAUUGAUGCCAACACAAACCAAAGCAAAUAUAAAAGUGCAGAGUUGAACUAGUUUGCAUAAUGUAAGUGCAAAGGUUGCUUGAAAUGAAACCAAUAAUUAUUUCUACUAGAUAUGCAUGGAUGGAUUUCUUCUAAUUUAAAAUUUUGGACCACGCUUGCACCACUUGUUUUGUUUUGCAAAUUUUUGGAAAUUCUUUUCAAAAAUCUUUUGCAAAUAGUCAAAUAUAUGAAUAUGAUUUUGAGAAGCAUUUUCAAGAUUUGAAAUUUUCUCUCCCUGUUUCAAAUGCUUUUCCUUUGACUAAAUAAAACUCCCCCUUAAUGAAAUCCUCCUCUUAGUGUUCAAGAGAGUUUUAGAUAUUAAUUUUGAAGAGGGUAUUCCAAUUUGAAAUUAUAUCACAAAUAAGAUACCAAUUUGAAAAACACUUCUAUGAAUACAAGUUGAAAGACUAAAUUUUUUGAAAUUGGUGGUGGUGCGGUCCUUUUGCUUUGGGCUAAUACUUUCUCCCCCUUUGGCAUGAAUCGCCAAAAACGGAUACUUGUGAGUGAAAUAUAAGCCCUUAUUCUACUUUCUCCCCCUAUGGUAAAUAAUAUAUGAGUGAAGAUUAUACCAAAUUGGAGAGCGGUGUGGAGCGACGGCGAAGGAUGAAUAAUUCGAUGGAGUGGAGUGGAAACCUUGUCUUCACCGAAGACUCCAUUUCCCUUUCAAUCUAUGACUUAGUAAAAUGUUCACUUGAAAAGACAUUAGUCAUAGUACAUGAAAUAGAUAUGAUCAAAGGUAUAUAAAUGAGCUAUGGGUGCAAGAUAUCAAUCAAAAUUCCUAGAAUCAAGAAUAUUUAGUUCAUGCCUAAGUUUGGUAAAUGUUUGCUCAUCUAGUGGCUUGGUAAAGAUAUAGUGUUAACAUAAGCAAUCUUGAUAUCCCCCUUUUGUUGGUGAUCCCUUAAAAAUGAUAUUGAAUGGCUAUAUGUUUAGUGCGGCUAUGCUCAACGGGAUUAUCCGCCAUGCGGAUUACACUCUCAUUAUCACAUAGAAGAGGAACUUUAGUUAAUUUGUAACCAUAGUCCCUGUUGGGGACCUUCGGCAUCCGAAGGUCCUCAAAAAUAGGAUUUAAUAGUAUUUCUGGAGUAUAAUGUGUGAACAGGUAUCUUCGGACUCAAGUCGGCAUCACAGUAAACAAGAAUAAUACGAAGGUUGAUGCAGCGCCGAAGGUGUAAGCAGGAAAGCUUCGGCGUGACAGCAGAAGGGGAAACCGACUUAAAGAUAAAAAGGCUAUUUAGACCUCGACAGAUUACUAUAGAAUUAUUAUCAAGUGUAAAUGGCAUGAAUGUAAUUUUGCAUGGGCUGCGACCCGUGCCUAUAAAUAGGUGAACAGUACCCCCGUACUGUUCACGCUGACUUGGCAUUCGCUUUUUGCGUCACGUUUGUACUAUCAUUUCCUUCCAGUUGGAGGUACACUCAUAAUUCAACGAUACUUCUGUUUAUGCUUAAUAAUAAUACAUAAUGGUGCAUGUUGUCAUUUAUAUUUCUUACAUUUCAUUCUUCGUCAUUAUACAAUGAAUUCAAGAAGGUAUCCCCUUCAAAACCUUCGUCCGAAAACCAUUAUACCCUAAGGGAAAUAAUGUUUCGAAGGACGAAGGACUUUAACAAUCGACAUUUUCUGUGUUGCCUUGUUCUUAACUCAUAGCAUUUGAGAACAAGUCCCCAACAUUGGCGCCCACCUCCGGUGAACUCACUUCCACUCUGAGUUUUUUGAACACCUUCGGCGAUCAUAAACCUUCGUUAUGGCGCCGAAGAAGGCUUCAGCGACUGGGGCUGCAGCUCUGCAACCACUGGACCACAAUCAGGAGACAGUCUCCUUGCGGGAGGCCCGAAGCCAGAAAAGGAAGGCUGUCAGCCCAACACCACCAGAGGACGAGAUAGAUCAAGAAAUCAGAAAUAUGGAGAUGCUUCAUCAACAAGUACAGAGGAAGAAAGAAAAGAUGGCCAGGCUAGCUGAACUGCAGAGGCAGAUAGACGAAGCCUCUGAAGAAGUUCGUCAUCUUGUCCAGGAUGAGCAGCACCGAAGGCCUCAACAUCAAGAUCUUCAUCAGGAGGGUUUCCCCAAUGAAGAUGACUGGUAUGACAAUUUCCAUCAUGGGAAUUUUGUUUUUGAUGAUGCUUCUCCUCUGUCCGCUGAGAUGCAGGCUACAUCGUGGCCUCCGUCUUACAAGCCGCCCCAGCUUCCUGUAUUCGAUGGCCACUCAGACCCGAAGCAGUUUUUGAUGAGCUACGAAGCAACAGUAUCUUCGUAUGGUGGCAAUGCUUCAGUCAUGGCCAAAUCUUUCGUUAUGGCUGUCAGGAGUGUGGCUCAAACCUGGUAUUCCUCCCUUCGACCAGGAACGAUCACUUCAUGGCAGAAGCUGAAGGACUUGUUGUUAACUAGCUUCCAAGGAUUUCAGACGAAGCCGGUCACUGCUCAGGCUCUGUUCCAGUGCACCUAAGAUCACGAAGAAUACCUUCAGGCGUAUGUCCGAAGGUUCUUGCGUUUGAGGGCACAGGCACCAACGGUGCCCAAUGAAAUUGUCAUUGAGGCCAUGAUCAAGGGGCUUCGGCCAGGACCGUCAGCUCAGUACUUCGCUCGGAAGCCUCCUCAAACUUUGGAGAAGCUGCUCCAGAAGAUGGACGAGUACAUUCGGGCCGACAAUGAUUUUCGCCAAAGAAGGGAGGAGGCUUUCAGGUUUUCUGAAAUGACCAGGGGCUUCGGAGGGAGAUUCUACCCGAGGCACGUGAGAUCAAUUCAUAACUCUACACAAAAUGAUGAUAGAGGAAGCCAACAGCAAAGGCCGCAAUGUUCCUCGCAGGCUUCGGGGCAACAGCAAAGCUCCUUCAGACCACCAGCUCCAAGAGGCAGAGGCGCCAGGGGCUUUGGAGGAAGAUUUGGCGAUCAACCGAGAAGAAUCUUUUGCUUAUUCUGCGGUGAGAACAAAGGCCAUACUACCAGGAUGUGCCAUGUUACUAUUCAGAAGCAAAAGGAAAUAGCUGAAGCAGCAGCACAACAAGCUCAGCCGAAGCAGGUCAUGCAUACAGCUUCGUAUCAUUCGCCCUACAUUCCAGAAUAUGUGGGCAAUCAUCCUGCAGUUUCUGUUGCUUCGGCGAGUCAGCCUCAAGCUUCUUGGCAACAGCCUCCGCCUCCACCUCCGUUGCAACAAGGCCAGCAGCCAGAAGGGAGCCAGUAUGCUCCACACCAGAGGGACUUCAGAGAGCAGUCCGAAGCUCGUACAGUCAAUAGCACUGUGCCAGAGUCAAAGCACAUCUAUUGACAAAUAUCCUACCUUAAUAGCAAUCUUUUUCAUUCAGUUUUAUUUUCUGUAAUAAAGGACAUUGUUUAGGCUUCAUGUAAUUAGUUUCGUUGGUUCCUACAAGGAAAAUAUAUUUUCUUCACAGGCUUAUAUUGAUAACAAAGAGGACCUUCGAACUACCGAAAAUUCUUUGGAGCAACAAAAAGUCGUUCUAAGGAACGCAGAGUAAGUUUGCCGAAGUCACGAAAAGUCAUUCCAAAGGGAACGCAGUGUAAGUUUUCUGCUCCAAAGUCGUUCCAAAGGGAAUGCAGAGCAUACAGCGAAAAGUCAACGCUGAUACCGCCUAAGUAAAAGGCGAAGCGCGAAAAGUCAACGCGAAUACCGCUGAAAGUAAAAGGCGAAGAAGCUCCUAAGGGAGGCUUACAGCGAAAAAUAAACGCUGAUCCCGCUGAAGUAAAAGGCGAAGAAGCUCCUAAGAGAGGCCUAUAAAAGAUUGUGUUUUAUUGCAGGGAUGCGUAUGUAUCUUCGGAAUAAACAUCAUCUCACAUAACAUAACAUCAUCGCAUCAUUUCGCAUAGCAUAAGCAUCAUACAUCAUUUUGCACAUGGCACAAGAGGUGGACACAAUAUCAAUCUACAGAAGAACGCUUUGAAAAAAGGGAGAAAUCAUAGUCACAAAAAAGAUACAUCAUUGAUCUUCGGAGGUGUAGCUUCGGAAAAUAUUUUCACGAAGCCUGGAUAUUAUUCAUCAGAACAUUGGUUAUUGUUGUGACAAAGAUAAUUUUUUCUUCACGAAGCAUGAAAAGAAGGGAAGGUGUUUUUUCGUCAAAGACUCAAAAGCGGUACGUGUAAAGUUUCAUGCAUCGUAAAGUAUUGACUAACAAAAAUAGGUAUAUUACAUUUGAGGUUACAAAAUGUUACAGUAUAUUACAUUUCCGAAGUUUUUUACAAAAAUACUUAAUCUUCUCUCAAAACGACUUCUGCAGCCUCGUUCAGGAGCCGAUUGACGACUUCGUCCAUAAUAUCUUCAGCCAUCUUUUUAAUUUCGUCGUCUCCUUUCGGCUGAGGGCCCGAAGACGCUUUAGCAGGAUCUGAAGUAAGAUAGGAUACGGAUACAGUGCUAUUACAAAUCGCAAACAAAUCUUAAAGCCUAAGAUUACAACACAAUAAAAACUAUUAGUUAAUACCUAAUUGACCUUCGGCCUCUGCGCUCUUUUCAGCAGCCUCAGCUACUUCUCUAGCAUCAUGAAUCCCCUUUUCACUUCUUCUAAUAAUUUCUCCGGCCAUUUCUCGGCCACCAUUAUCCCAAAUAUCGGUAAAAAAUUUUCCACCAAUUAUACUAGCUUCGGCCGAAGGAUCUCUUGUAUCUUCAAAAGACAAAGCAGCUUCGGAUUGUGCUAAAAUUUUUACAUGUUCGCAGCCCUUCUUCUCUAAGAUGGUGGCAAUUCCUCUGGCACCAGAGAAGGCACAUAUAUCUCCACGGCUAUUUAAAAUUUCUUCGAAGGCUUCAGCUUCGUGGUCGAUCCACUCGAUGGGGCCUUCGGGAUUGCCUCUCGUAAAGUUUUCCUCACUUGAAAAUGCGCCGACCUUGGCGAAGCUAGCCUUCAGCUUCUUAACACAUUCUAUAGAUUUGUUAUAACAUCUCUUUUUGGACGACCGAAGCUCUUCAACGGUUCCUUCUAGGUGAUCUGCCCAUUGGUCGCUGAGUUCUCGCUUUGUCUCUUCAAGUAUGCGUUCUUCCUUGGCUCUGGCCAGUUGUUUCCGAAGAUCUUCAAUUUCGCGUUUCUGAGCUUCAGCUUGACCUUUAAAAGCAGCUUCGUCUGCCUUUAUUUUAUUUAUCAAUGAGUGUAAUAUUUUAUCUUUCUCGAGACCUUCGUUCCUCAGUUCAAUAACUUCGGAACGAAGGUUGCUCAGGGCUAUAGAACACCCUUCGUCUUCAGCAUCUUUCUGUGCCCUGAGGGCAUUGCUAAGUAUCAGGCCCUGCAAAGAGAAAUAUGUGUGUGUCAAUAGGUUUAAACAAACAAAAGAUUUUGGACUCAACAAAAAUACAAGGAUUUCAUUUGUCGCACCUUUAAGCUAUUGUAAGCCAGGCUAUCGGCCAGAUCGUUCUUCGACAGCACCGAGAGCCCGUCUUCUAAAGUUGGGAAUCCGAAGCUCUUGCUCAUCUCCCGACAGACAGAAAUCUCCUUGCUGUCGGGGAGACAAUACAAGAAGUCUUCUUCUCCACUGCCAUUGAAUAUUAACGCCCCUUUUGGAUAUUUCAGUUUUUGGGCGUAGUGUUGGGCCUCUUGCUCUUCUUUUUCUGAUAGUUUCUUCCCCGAAGCAUGACGAACAAUAUAAUCACGAACUUUGAGGGAUGCUCCGGGGGCAAUAACACCGGUUUCUUCAACCAAAGUUGGCUUUGUAAUUUUUUCUGCCUCACUUUCCAAGGAUUUUAUCUUUGCGGGCUCUGAGGGCCCAGCUUCGGCUUCAGUCUCUUGCUCUGGAGCUUUAGAACCAGAAAUUUCAGUUGUUGUUUCAGGAAUGACAUCAGCCUUCUUCGGAGGUGUGCUUGAAGAUUUGAUCGUUUCCAGUACAUCUAGCACAUUAGCCAUUCUCUUUCUUUUUGGAGUCACUGCUGGCACUUUUUGAUUUUUUACUGUCUCAAUGUUUGCUGCAGGACUCAAAACUUCUGAUGUUUUGGAUCCCUCAGUUGCUUCUUUUACCUCUUCCAUUUUUUCUGAGGACGGCGCUUCGGCCUUCUCUUUCGUUUCUGAUAACAAAAUCUUUGAUUGUUCCAAUUCUAUCUUUGUUGGCACUUCGGCCGUUUCUGCGACUUCUGGCAGCAAGGAUGGCUCGAUUGGUUUUUUAGCUUCGGUGGCCGAAGAAGUUUCUCCGGUAAACUCAGGCACCGAAGCUGGUUCAAUAUAGCGCGGCCGAUGUGUGAGGACCUUUAUCUUUUUUCUUUUCGGUUCUGGCUCGCAAGGAGCCAUUGCAGCUUCUUCUUUUGCAGAGGUUGUGUUUUUUCUCUUCUGCCUUCGAAUGGGAUAGCAAUAGUCAGGGUAGACAAACCCGAUUGCAUCAAAUACCCGAUUCAGCCUCUUCUUUUUUCGGCCUCCGAAGGCUGCUGACAUUGCAGUGUCUUCGGCUUUCGAGUAAGCCCCAAGCAGUUCAUCACUUAAAUUUUCAAUGCUUUUCAGCCAGUCAUCAUCUGGCUCAACGAAUUUAUCUCCAAAUUUAAAAGUGUACUUCAACCUGAUAAGUCCACCUUCGUCGGCCUCUUUUACGGUUUCUUGUGGCAUUUCCCAUUUCUCCGCGAGCGGCCAUACCCUGAAGGCAAUAUGCUCUUGUACUAAGUCUCUCGUUCCAAUAAAAGAACAGAUAACGCCGAAGGCCCUCUGGCAUUCUUCGGCAGCUUCAUUCAUUUCAACCUUCGGCCUCCGAAGGCCGAAGCUUUGCCAAAUAGGGCGCAUGAUUAUACCUUUGAUAUCUUCUCGUACUGUCAGAUCAUUCUUCACAUAAAACCAUUCUGUCAUCCAAUCUCCGGGCCAUCUCUUCCGAAAGGUUGGCACGGGGCAGCUUGACCCGGACCGGGAAACGAAACUGUAGCAGCCAAAAUUAUUGUGAUACUGUUCCUUACCCCAAGGUUUUGUUUCAUAUGAUAAUUCAUGUAUAUUGCAGAAGCUUUUUGCGUCAGGCUUCAGACCUUGGCUUUUCACGGCCCACACGAAGAUAUUCAGCCUUAUAAUUGCCUCGGGUGUAAGUUGAUGGAGAUAGACUUCGAAUAUUUUCAGCACCUCUACAACGAAGCUGCUCAAAGGGAAUCGCAGUCCAGCUUUCAAAAAACUUCGGUAUACUACGACUUCAUUCUCUUCAGGGUGUGGGCAAGUUUUUUCCCCUUCGUCGGCCCUCACAAUGGACAAAUCCCGAAAAUACCUUCCUCUCAUGUUGACAAGAUGAUUCUCUCUGAUAGUUGAUUUACCAUAAACUGAGUGGCUUGGUCGCCAGGGACGAUUUUCGGAGUCUUCACCACCACUGUCUACAUCAUAGCUGUCACUGUCACCAGUAUCUUCAGACAAACCUUCCAGAAUCUCCUUGGUAAUUUUUUCUGUGUUGGUCUUUGACAUCGCUAUGAGAAACCCCAAGUUUUUCUCUUCGUCAAGGCUCAGCUUCAUCUCAGCAGCAGUCUUCUUAUCUUCAGACAUCUUCGGAGGCACUAAAAAACUAUUUUCAAAGCCGAAGCUUCAAAACUAAAGGCUUAGCAAAUUGUAGUGCGCAAGAGCUAAAAAUUGAGUCAGCAGGAGCAAUUGGCCAGAGAGCGUGUCAAAUAAGUUUGCGGUAUCGACCUAUUUAUACGCUAAAAGCGUUGAAAAUUGAAAGACCCCGCUUGUCAGUGAAUGUUGCUAUUCUAGCAAAGGGAAGGUGUUUUUUCGGACCUUCGGCGUAAAGCCUUCGUCCAUGUCGCAAUCUAAAUUUAUUAUUUUAAACAAAUUUUUAUUGCGAGGGGCUACUGUUGGGGACCUUCGGCAUCCGAAGGUCCUCAAAAACAGGAUUUAAUAGUAUUUCUGGAGUAUAAUGUGUGAAUAGGUAUCUUCGGACUCAAGUCGGCAUCACAGUAAACAAGAAUAAUACGAAGGUUGAUGCAGCGCCGAAGGUGUAAGCAGGAAAGCUUCGGCGUGACAGCAGAAGGGGAAACCGACUUAAAGAUAAAAAGGCUAUUUAGACCUCGACAGAUUACUAUAGAAUUAUUAUCAAGUGUAAAGGGCAUGAAUGUAAUUUUGCAUGGGCUGCGACCCGUGCCUAUAAAUAGGUGAACAGUACCCCCGUACUGUUCACGCUGACUUGGCAUUCGCUUUUUGCGUCACGUUUGUACUAUCAUUUCCUUCCAGUUGGAGGUACACUCGUAAUUCAACGAUACUUCUGUUUAUGCUUAAUAAUAAUACAUAAUGGUGCAUGUUGUCAUUUAUAUUUCUUACAUUUCAUUCUUCGUCAUUAUACAAUGAAUUCAAGAAGGUAUCCCCUUCAAAACCUUCGUCCGAAAACCAUUAUACCCUAAGGGAAAUAAUGUUUCGAAGGACGAAGGACUUUAACAAUCGACAUUUUCUGUGUUGCCUUGUUCUUAACUCAUAGCAUUUGAGAACAAGUCCCCAACAGUCCCUGAGGGUUUGCCUCAUCCAAAGCAAUUGCGCGCAACAAUGGCCUGCGGCAAUGUACUCGGCUUCGGCGGUAGAAAGAGCUACAGAAUUUUGCUUCUUUGAAGCCCAAGACACCAGAGAUCUUCCCAAGAACUGGCAAGUCCCUGAUGUGCUCUUUCUAUUAAUUUUACACCCUACCCAAUCAGCAUCGGAAUACACAAUUAAAUCAAAUGUGGAUCCCCUGGGGUACCAAAGGCCAAACUUAGGAGUAUAAACUAAAUAUCUCAAGAUUCGUUUCACGGCCCUAAGGUGAACUUUCUUAGGAUCGGCUUGGAAUCUUGCACACAUGCAUACGGAAAGCAUAAUAUCCGGUCGAGAUGCACAUAAAUAGAGUAAAGAACCUAUCAUCGACCGGUAUACCUUUUGAUCUACGGAUUUACCUCUCGUGUCGAGGUCGAGAUGCCCAUUAGUUCCCAUGGGUGUCUUGAUGGGCUUGGCAUCCUUCAUCCCAAACUUGGUAAGAAUGUCUUGAAUGUACUUCAUUUGGCUAAUGAAGGUGCCCUCCUGGAGUUGCUUCACUUGAAAUCCUAAGAAAUACUUCAACUCCCCCAUCAUAGACAUCUCAAAUUUUUGAGUCAUGAUCCUACUAAACUCUUCACAUGUAGAUUCGUUAGUAGACCCAAAUAUGAUAUCAUCAACAUAAAUUUGGCAUACAAACAAAUCAUUUGCAAGUGUUUUAGUAAAGAGAGUAGGAUCGGCUUUUCUGACUUUGAAGCCAUUAGCGAUAAGAAAAUCUCUUAGGCAUUCAUACCAUGCUCUUGGGGCUUGCUUGAGCCCAUAAAGCGCCUUAGAGAGUUUAUAAACAUGGUUAGGAUACUCACUGUCGGUGUUUUGGGUCCGACCGCACACCUGGGGUUACCCCCCAAGGUGUUUUUAGGAGUAGGACGGUGUCAACGACUGUAGCAAAAUGGUUCGUGCCGAUUGCACGAGGGACAGCAGACAAGAUUUGCAGGUUCGGGCCGCUUAGAGGUGCGUAACACCCUACGUCCUGAUGAGUAUUUGAGUGUGGUUACAAGAGGGCUCUCUGGAACGGAGGCACAGAGAGUUUACGUGGGUGGCUAAGUAAAGUAGGGUCGAUCGAUCUGAAGGGGUGCCCCCUAGGCCUUAUAUACUCGACCGUGGGGCAGUACACGUGGAUAUGAUAACAACAAGUAGCUGAAAGAUAGUAAACCUCUUGAGUUUAUCCCUACGUAACCCUUGCCGACUUAUCCUCGCAUGGCUCUGUUGCAUGGGGGCUUCAGCGCGGGAAAGUCGGGUCUUUGUUGCGAUUUACUCGCCCGACGUUGUGGGCCGUCCGGGUUUGCUCCAAUCCAGUCUUACGUCUUCUCUGCUUCGUUGAUUGUCUCUCCCCAGGCCCACGAAAGAACGACCUUACGAUUUAUUGGGCCCUUGGGCCUUUCGUGAGGUCUUUUAUCUCUUUAGUGGACCCGGGGGAUAUCUAUCCCCCACAAGCCCCCGAUCUUUGGGUUGAUUUAGAGGUAAUCAACUCAAAGAUCCAAGGUCCAAGAAAUGGCUUCCUGCUGUCUUCUCUUGCUCUGAUCACUCGUUCGACCGAAGUUUAGUUUUGUGCUUGUGCCUUAGAGGUCGACAUUUUGAAUUGUAGAAUUCUGGACUUCAUUGGGUGCACCGGAGGUGCACCCAAUGGGUGUAGCCCCCGACCUUUGAGUAGAUUUUAGAAGAUAAUCUACUCGAAGGUCUUCCCCAGAAAUUAUCUCUAUGCGCGCUCAUGUACCUUGGUUGAGGAUUGGUCUUUUCAAUCUUGUCCCAUGCCUUAGAAGCCGGCACUAUAUUGGUUUAGAGUGAUAAUCCAUGGGGUGCACCGGAGGUGCACCCAAUGGGUGUAGCCCCCGACCUUCAAAUGGAUUUUUUAAGGAUAAUCCAUUCGAAGGUCUUUCUUUUGCUUGUAAAAAUUGUAAUGAAGCUAUUCGCAUUAUGCUUUGGAGGUCAGCAUUAUGUCAUCAAAAUUUUGCUGCAGAAGUCAGCAUAUAUUUUGUCUUUAGCAGCCGAGUUUGCAAUCCGUCCAUAUCUUGCUAGGUAAUGCAAUUUAUUUCCUUCUGCGACUUGAUUGGAUGUUUGACGGACGUUCUCUGUCUAGUCCUCACAUCAUUUCUGUCGGUCAUAUCUUGUACUUUGCUGGCUAUAUUUGGCUUUCCUCUGAUCCUUACUGAUAUCUCAUUUUUGUCUUGAGGUAUUUACUGCAUGCUCUGCACGGAUGUGACCGUUUUGAAAAAUAUACUGAUAAUUCCUGGGCGUCCCCCCCCCCAAUGGGUGUGGGCAAGGGACGGCUUGGUACGCUGAGUGUUUUAGCCGGCUGCUUCUGAGUAGUAAUGUGAUGGGACGACCAGUGUAAUCAUAUCCUUUGCGCUGUUGACUGGAGUCCCAAUGGGUGUAGUGUUGCAUGAAACGGCGUCUGCCGUCUGACGUGUCUUCAGAUGGGUGGGAGUGCUUAUUGAAUGCUUUGCGACUGUUCAGUGACCGCGGUUGGAAGUGAGCGGUUGCCUUUCCUUUCUAUAAAUAACGCCCUUGCUCCUCUGGUUUUUUCACAUCCUUUGUUGUUCUCUGUUUCUUCUCUUUCUUCUCUCCCGUCUGCUUUCACCAUGGGCAAGAACAACAAGCGCAAGCGUGAGCCGACUCCUCCAUCGGAGGAGUUUGGUGACUCGGAAUACUCAGAGGAGGAGUUCUCCUCUGAGUCCGAGGGGUCUCCGGCUCCCAUCCCCCUGCGUGAGUCGUCUGAUGACUCAGACGAUUCCCAGGGGCUUGCGGCGGAGGUCUGGACGUACAUCCGGGCCGUCGAGCGCUCCGGGCUCGAGGGCUCGGAUGAGUCUGAGUUCUCCUCGGACGAGGAGGACUCGGACGGCGGCGAGGACGAAGAUGACGACGACGACGACGGUGGCGACGGCGACGGUGACGGCAGCAACGGCGGCGGAGGCAGCGGCGGCAAGGGCAGCACCAGGGGCGGCAGCAGCACGGGCAGCACCAGAGGCAGCAGCAGCAAGGGUAGCACCAAGGGCGGCGGCAGCAAGGGCAGCAGCGGCAAGGCCAGUGGCUAAACGCCACUGGUCUUUAGAUAUUAGUAUAGUGUAGUUAAAAUAAUGUAGUAGUAAUGUAGAGUAGUAUAGUGUAGUUUAGUAGUAGUAGUAAUGUAGAGUAGAAGUAGGGAAGCACCAACUCGCGAAGAGUUGGUUUGUAAACUUAUUAACUUCCCUUUAAUGAAGAACUGUCGUUGACCCCCCUUUUCGAUGACUCGCUUUUUCUGAAUGUUGAACUGAUUCUUUUGAUAUAGUAGAUGAAUAACUUGCGCAUCGCAUUGACGCCUCCAGAAGUAGCUGCCGAGUAAUAUCUUAGUCGGUAUCGGCGUUUUUAGAAACAACACCGAGCGAUGUGAAGGUUGACAUCAGCGUUUUAGAAGUAACACCGAGCAAUCGAACAUGAAACCGACGUUUUAGAGGUAACGCCGAGUCAGUGAAGAUCAACAUCGGCAUUUUAGAAGUAAUGCCGAGCGAUAGAACACGAGAUCAGCGUCUUGGAGGCAACGCCGAGUGGUUGAAGGUCGGCGCCGGCAUUUUAGAAGUAAUGCCAAGCGAUUUGAACACGAGGUCGUCGUUUUAGAGGCAACACCGAGUGGUUGAAGGUCGGCGCCGGCAUUUUAGAAGUAAUGCCAAGCGAUUUGAACACGAGGUCGUCGUUUUAGAGGCAACGCCGAGUGAUUGAAGGUCGAUGUCGGCGUUUUUAGAGGUAAUGCCGAGCAAUAGAAUACAAGUUCGUCGUUUUGGAGGCAACGCCGAGUGAUUGAAGGUCGGCGUCGGCAUUUUAGAAGUAAUGCCGAGCGAUUGAACGCGAGGUCAGCGUUUUAGAGGCAACGCCGAGUGAUUGAAGGUCAGCGUCGGCAUUUUAGAAGUAAUGCCGAGCGAUUGAACGCGAGGUCAGCGUUUUAGAGACAACGCCGGGUGAUUGAAGGUCGAUGUCGGCGUUUUUAGAGGUAAUGCCGAGCAAUAGAAUACAAGUUCGUCGUUUUGGAGGCAACGCCGAGUGAUUGAAGGUCGGCGUCAGCAUUUUAGAAGUAAUGCCGAGCGAUUGAACGCGAGGUCAGCGUUUUAGAGGCAACGCCGAGUGAUUGAAGGUCAGCGUCGGCAUUUUAGAAGUAAUGCCGAGCGAUUGAACGCGAGGUCAGCGUUUUAGAGACAACGCCGGGUGAUUGAAGGUCGACGUCGGCAUUUUAGAAGUAAUGCCGAGCGACUGAACGUGAGGUCAGCGUUUUAGAGACAACGCCGAGUGAUAGCCGGCCGCACGAGUUAUUUUGAGGAUAAUAACCGAGUGAUGAAAUGGCGCGCCGGCUUUUUUGGAAAUAACUGUCGGAUGUCCACGUGGCAUGCUGGGAUUUCGGAAAUAACCGCCGGGUGAUGACUGGGCACUUUUUGAAAGGGAAUCUGGCUCAAGAAUAUCCCAUAAGAGUUGCGCUUUUAGCCGCCUUUGCUUUCCGUGCCCUAGUUCUUGCAUUCCCGCAUCUGAAUCUUCUCUGCCACUCGCCCCCUACUCUGUUCGCCAGUGAGAAGCAGGAUGGCGCCCAAGAGGAAAACUGCGAACUCGUCUGCUGCAGUGAUCCCCGCAAUCGACCCCAACAGUCAGUUACCCUUCGCAGGUAAUCACAUGUCUGUUAUUUCUGAAGCUGAGCUUCUCCGCCUCGUCUCCAUCGGGGUUCUUCCUCCGCGGGAACUCUGUUCUUGGCGGAUUUGCCACGGGACUACUGUCCCAACCGAAAAUACCCACGAGUCAGUAGUUUAUGCUCCUUUUCUUCUUCGCGGCCUCGGCCUUCCCAUCUCUCCUUUUUUCCGUGGCCUUCUUGACUUUUAUCAUAUCAACUUGACCCAUUUGAACCCUAAUUCCAUUCUCCAAAUCUCCAUCUUCGUUCACCUAUGCGAAGCCUACCUCGGUGUGCUGCCGCAUUUCGGUUUGUGGAAGUAUCUGUAUCAUUGCCGCCCUGGGAUGGCCGGGGGGCAACACCAGCUGGUCGGAGGUGCCAGUUUGGAGAUGCGCCGUGGGCGGAAGACCGAGUAUCUUGAGAUUCCCCUCAAAGAUAGCAUUAAAGGAUGGCGUCUGGAGUGGUUUAUAGUUGAUAAUUAUGGAAAUUCUCUCCCCUCCCGGUCAGGAAGACAGCCAGACGUUCGUACUCCGAGUUGGACUGAGUCUCCCAUAGAUCAGGAAGUGGCCGAGGCAGGCGUGUUGCUUACUGAAGUCGGAUUACUGAAAGAGAGAGGUCUGACUGCCGAAGCUGUGGUCACUGAUUUUGUUUUCAAGAACAUUCAGCCAUUGAAAGACAGGGCCUAUCCGGCAUAUCUGUAUCGAGGGCUGGCCGACUCAACUCGGGUUACCAAUAGGAGAAUUCCUUCUGUUGACUUGGUAAGCCGACUUGAAAUGAUCCUCAGGGGUAAAGUUUCAAAUGUUGGUGCUCCAGUGGCAUACUCGGCUUGGAACUUACCUCCUCCCAAAGCUUUCACCCUUUUUGUGUCAAAUCCGCCUGUGACUGAUAGCAAUUUGGGCCUUAGAGUGCGACCCUCCGCUGAGGAAGUCAGUACUUUGGUUGCUUCGCUCGGGGCGAUUCCUGAUGAUGAACGACAGGUUUAUUUUGAAGUGCCUCUGAACCCCAGUGAUGCUGACAUAAAUGACAUGCUUGAUCUGUUAGCUGAGGAUUCGUCCGAUGCUGCUCCUGAUGGUACCUUGGCAGUGGUGCCCCUUCCAGAGGUUGAUACAACUUUGAAUGUCCCGAAACCUAUCAGCACUCGCCCGAGGCGUCCUAGCCGAACCAGUCAGCCCGAGCCUUCUGCUGAUGAGCAAAAGAAAAAGAGAAGACGCCUCCGGCGAGUAUCCAGUUUUGAUGAGGACGCCGGCACUUUAGCUCCUGCUGCUGAAGAAGUGCCUGCAAUUGGUCUUACUGACACUGAUCCCAAUGGGUGUGCCCAAACUAUUGCUAAUCCCAAUGAGAGUGCUGCUUGCGUUGCCGCUGUGGAGGAUGAAGAGGAAGAAGAUGAAGCUCCUUUAACUCAGAAAAACAGUCGGCAGUUCAUUGCCAGCGGUGGAAGUAGUGGAGUUCCUUCUCCUGCUUUGUCUGCCCUUAUUGGUCUGCAAGAACUGUCCAUGGCCAACUUUGAUCAAACUCUAGAGGAUAUGGUCCCAAAAGAUUUGCUAUCAGAGCCUGUGUAUGUUGAUGCAACAAAAACUUGUGCUGCCGUGCCCGAUGCUGGGUUGAGGUCAUCCCGUGCCUCGUCGACCUUAGAGCAUGAUCUCGAGGGUCGGGAUGCUGACUUGGAUUGUCCUGGUCCCAUGGAAGUAGCUGGAGGCCCGUCAACCUUAGAGGUGGUUACGGCAGAGAGCUUGGACCCCUUGAAUAGUGCUGACACGCACCCAGCCCCCGAGGAUGUCGUCGGGGAAAACUUAGCUCGGGUGAAGAGUAUAAGCCACUGCCCAGCCCCCGAGGGUGUUGCCGGGGAUGAUCCGGCUCAAGUGGGCAGUGCCAACUGUGACCCAGCCCCCGAGGGUGUCCGAGCAAGGUCUCCUUCCUGCACUUCCAUGGAUGUUCAUGCGGGUUCACCUCCACACUCUGGCGGUAUGGUGGUGGCCCAAACUCUGGAUCAGGGGGUCGCUUUAGAGGGCAGCAUCCCCACUGGUCUGGCGUUAGGCUCUGUUGAAUGUACUGAGCUCGUUCCUGCUGGUCCGCUGCAAGCUGCUUCGGGUGGUGGUCUGGCACCUAGUUAUCAGCUGAUUUCUUCUGACUUAGGGAUCCCUUCGUUCUUUUCCAACCUCCAGGUACUGUGCUGUACUUUAGCUUGUUCUUUACAUUGCAUGAAUUUUUGUCAUUAUGCUCAUCCGCUCUUCUCAUCAGGCUUUGGUGGAUGGGAUGGCCAGCCAGCUGAAACCGCAGGGUGCUUCCAUCCCAGAAGCGGCUUCAUCUCUUGAGCGUUGGAAUCCGGCGUCGCUUCAUCGUCGUGUAUCCGAGUUGGAGGCGACUAAUGCGGGUUGGCGCCCUUCUUCUUCUUCCUUGCCUUUAUUCGUGGAUUGUUUUACCUUCUGACCUCAUUUCGUUUGAUUACCUCUUGAUAGGAAUGACUCGGCAGAUUGCAGUUCUUGAGGAAAAAUAUUCCCGAGAUCAAGCUGAAAUGGCUCAACGGUGUGCUGACUUCGAGGAGAAGUAUUCUCAGAGCUAGACUGAACUGAAUCAGGUCUCCGCUGCUUUGGAUGACGCCAACGCUCUGAGUUCUUCUCUUCAUGCUCGGCUUGACUCUGAAAAGGUAACUUACAAAACCAUGCUUUGCCUUAUUACAUGCUUGGAUUCUGAAUGAGUUGAUUUUUGUUUGUAGGAAGAAAAACGUAUCCUUGCUGCCUCUCGCGACAAUCUGGACAGAUUGUAUCGAGACUCUAGCAACUCGCUAACCAUCUUGGAGAGGAGCCACCGUUUUACAAUGGAAGAACUGGACAAUCAGCGUUGCAGGCUGCAAGAGUCUGCAGAUGAAGUGACCCGCCUUGCGCAAUUGCUAUCAGCGAAGGAUGCCACCAUCAAGGGACUCCGAGCUUCUAAGAAAUCCAUUGCUCAGGAGUUAGAAGCUGCUCAGCUGGCUGCUAGAGUUGCCGAAGAAACUGCUGUCACUCUCAAAGCUCAGCGUGAUAAAGCCCUGGACAAGGCAAUUCGGGCGGGACGAAUCUUGAUGAGAAGACCCGGCGUGAUUGUCCCUGAAGACAUAAUAGCCGAUGUGAAUGCUGCCCCCGAUUCUUCGAAUCGCCCUUCUUCGUCAGUCGUUCCUGAGAAAGACAUUGGAAAAUAGAGAAACAUUUCGCGUGCUAUGAGCGCGCGGUUAGCAUGAUCAAGUACUCGUUAGGGGUUAUCGGCUUAUCAUUCGAAUGACAUGAUCACAGAAUUUAUUAAUUUGCAAAUUUGUGGUAAUGCUGCAUGAUGAUUAUGAAGUUUGUUUUCGGGAUAUGGAAGUCAUCCCCUGAGUUGCGUAAGCGCGAGUAAGCUGCAUCGGCUUGAGCCACCACUGACUUUAGUCGAUAGCUCCGUUAGUAGGGUAUAGUGGUCACCCUGGGUUAAGUAAGCGUGAGCAUGUUGCACCGCCUUAAGUCGUUGCCGACUUAAGUCGAUUGCUCCAUUUGUAGGGCAUAGUGGUCACCCCGAGUUAAGUAAGCGCGAGCAUGUUGCACCGCCUUAAGUCGUUGCCGACUUAAGUCGAUUGCUCCGUUUGUAGGGCAUAGUGGUCACCCCGAGUUAAGUAAGCGUGAGCAUGUUGCACCGCCUUAAGUCGUUGCUGACUUAAGUCGAUUGCUCCGUUUGUAGGGCAUAGUGGUCACCCCGAGUUAAGUAAGCGUGAGCAUGUUGCACCGCCUUAAGUCGUUGCCGACUUAAGUCGAUUGCUCCGUUUGUAGGGCAUAGUGGUCACCCCGAGUUAAGUAAGCGUGAGCAUGUUGCACCGCCUUAAGUCGUUGCCGACUUAAGUCGAUUGCUCCGUUUGUAGGGCAUAGUGGUCACCCCGAGUUAAGUAAGCGUGAGCAUGUUGCACCGUCUUAAGUCGUUGCCGACUUAAGUCGAUUGCUCCGUUUGUAGGGCAUAGUGGUCACCCCGAGUUAAGUAAGAAUGCAAGUCAAUCGUAAAUGAGCCGGGUAUCUUUGAAGUCUCUCUUUAUUGAUGACGUAUUUUCAUUAUACAGAAUACAUGGUCGCCCCAGCUGUUUUGAAAUACAGCUAGGGGUAAAACUUUCGAAGGUGCUCUAUGUUCCAGGAGUUCCCAACUUCUGUGCCAUCCAUCUGGGUGAGGCGAUACGAUCCGGGCCGAGUGACCUCUGCUACUAUGAAAGGCCCUUCCCAUAAGGGUGAUAACUUGUGCCGUCCCUCCCCCGUUAGAAUUCGGCGGAGGUCGAGGUCUCCUAUCGAAAAGAAACGUUGCCGCACAGCUUUGUCGUGAUAUCGCCUUAGAGUCUGCUGGUACCGUGCUGAUUGGAUUACUGCAUUCAGUCGUUCUUCCUCAAGUACAUCGAUAUCCUCUAGCCUGGUGGCCUCGGUUUCUGCUAUGCUUUCGAAGAUCAAUCUUGGCGCCCCAAAUUUGAGAUCAGCAGGUAGCACUGCCUCUGUCCCAUAGACCAUGAAGAAAGGGGUGUUUCCAUGCAGGGCUCGGCUAGGUUGGGUUCUCAGGCUCCAAACAACAUAAGGCAGUUCUCUUAUCCAUUUUCCUGCGAAUUUUUCAUUCUUAUCGAAGACCCUUUUCCUGAGUGCCUCCAAUAUCAUUCCGUUGGCUCGCUCAACCUGCCCGUUGGCUCUUGGAUGUGCUACGGAUGCGUACUUGAUCUGAAUGUUCUUUUGCUCGCAGAAGUCAAAGAAUUCUGAGCUGGUGAAGUUGGAUCCCAAGUCAGUAAUGAUACUGUUUGGUAUCCCGAAUCUAAAUAUUAUGCUUUGUAUGAAUUCCACGGCUUUAGCAGAGGUUAAAGAAGCAAUGGGCUGAAACUCUAUCCAUUUAGUGAAUUUGUCAAUUGCCACCAAUACAUGGGUAUAUCCUCCUUGAGCUUUUUUGAAAGGUCCAAUCAUAUCCAGUCCCCAGCAUGCGAAAGGCCAAGUUACUGGUAUGGUCUGCAGCUGCUGUGCUGGCAUGUGCUGUUGCUUUGACAGGUAUUGGCAAGCUUCGCAUCUCUGAACUAACUUGGCUGCAUCGUCCUUCGCCAUCGGCCAAUAGAAUCCUGACCUGAAAACCUUCCCGACUAGUGUUCUGGAUGCUGCAUGUACUCCACAUUGCCCUGCAUGGACUUCCUCCAGAAGCUGCUUCCCGGUGGACGGGAGAACGCACUUCAUGAGGACGCCUGACGCGCCCCUCCUGUAUAAUACCUCCCCAAUGAGUGUAUAGUGACCCGAUUGUCUGGCAAUACGCUCUGCCGAGUUCUUGUCAUCUGGUUCUUCUUCAUUUUUUAUAUAUUUAAUAAUCGGCUGUCUCUAGUCAUUAGAGUCUGACUCGGGUUGAUCUAUGAUGUUGCACUCUUCUGUUUGAUCCAUUGAGAUACUCGGCUGCAGGAUUUCUUGUACGAAGACUUCGGGUGGGACCUGAGUUCGACCGGAUCCGAGCUUGGACAAUACAUCGGCUGCCGUGUUCCGAUCUCUUUCUACAUGAUGAAAUUCCAGACCCUCGAAUUUAUCUUCCAGCUUUCGGACGGCAGCGCAAUAUUUUCCCAUUGAAUCACUUGAACAAUCCCAUUCUUUGUUUAUCUGGCUGAUGACUACCAGAGAAUCUCCAUAUACCAUCAAUCUUUUGACGCCCAGUGAUAUGGCGAUGUUUAAUCCGUGUAUCAAGGCUUCAUACUCGGCUGCAUUGUUAGAGGCUGGGAAUAGCAACUGGAGAGCGUACUUGAGGUGCUCGCCUCCAGGUGCGGUGAAGAGAAUCCCUGCUCCUGCUCCCUGCAGCUUCAGCGAGCCAUCGAAAUACAUUCGCCAUACUUCUGCAGUUUCUGGAUUGUCUGGUACUUGCUGUUCUGUCCAUUCCGAUACGAAAUCAACCAGUGCUUGAGUUUUGAUGGCGGUGCGAGGUCGGAACUCGAUAUCGUGGGAUCCCAACUCGCAAGCCCACUUGGCUAUUCGGCCAAUGGCUUCCUUGUUGUGAAGAAUGUCCCCUAUUGGAAAACCAGUAACUACUAUGACUUUGUGGUCGUCAAAGUAGUGACGCAGCUUGCGGGCAGUUAGAAGUACUGCAUAUAAUAGUUUCUGAACCUGAGGAUACUUUUUCUUCGAGGGGCCUAGAACUUCACUGAUGAAGUAAACAAGAUGUUGUACUGGAUAGGCAUGUCCUUCUUCUACUCGCUCGACUACCAACGCAGUGCUUACCACGUGAGUUGUGCAAGAGAUAUACAGCAACAGAUCUUCAGCCGGUUGAGUCGGCAUAGCUCGCCGGGGUGGUUUCAAUACCGGUGGUGUUGUCAAGAAUUUUUUCAGUGCGUCUAGAGCUUCCUGUGCUUCUGAAGUCCACUGAAACUUGUCCACCUUCUUGAGUAGCUUGUAAAAUGGCAAACCUUUCUCUCCCAGCCUGGAUAUAAAUCUGCUCAGAGCUGCCAUACAUCCAGUGAGUCGCUGAACCUUCUUUUGUGACCGAGGAGCUUCCAUCUUCAUGAUAGCUUCAAUCUUAUCUGGAUUAGCCUCAAUUCCCCGGUGGCUGACGAUAAAUCCGAGCAACUUUCCUGCUGGUACCCCGAAAACACAUUUUUCAGGAUUGAGCUUCCAUCUAUAUCUUCUCAGGCUGUUGAAAACCAGCUGUAAAUCUUCGAUGAAGUUUUCCGAAUUCUCUGUUUUGAUCACCACGUCAUCUACGUAAGCCUCCACACGCUUGCCCCAGUGAUCGGCUAAGCAUGUUUGAAUGGCUCUCUGAUAAGUCGCGCCAGCGUUUUUGAGGCCGAACGGCAUGGAGGUAUAACAGAAAGCACCAAACGGAGUGAUGAAUGCUGUUUUUUCCUCGUCUUCUUUGGCCAAACUGAUCUGAUGAUACCCGGAAUAGCAAUCUAAGAAAGACAGCACAGAACAUCCAGCGGUGGAAUCCACCGCCUGAUCUAUCCUCGGGAGCCCGAAGGGAUCCUUCGGACAGUGUUUGUUGAGAUCAGUAUAGUCGACGCACAUGCGCCAAUCCACUUUAUUCUUUUUGAGUACAAGAACAGGGUUGGCCAACCACUCAGGGUGUAAUACUUCUCUAAUAAAUCCAGCCGCGACCAAGCGGGCUAAUUCGGCACGAAUGGCCUCUCUCUUGUCGGGCGUGAAACGACGUAGCUUUUGCCGGAUCGGCCUCGCCUGGGGAUAGACCUUCAAUUUGUGCUCGGCCAGUUCUCUUGGGACUCCCGGCAUAUCCACAGGUUGCCAUGCGAAUACGUCUCGGUUAUCUUGCAAGAACUGGACGAGCGCGCUUUCCUAUUUGUCAUUCAAACUGGAGCUGAUGAUGGCCGUUUUGCGCUCAUCAGCGAAUCCCAGGUUGAUUCGCUUGGUUUCUUCAAUCGGCCGCAUAGAGGUCACGGCCUGAGCUUCGUUCGCCGGUACGGCGAGGUCUUCCUUAGGCUUAGAGUUCGCCGUCGUAGAAGGAACCGUUGACGGCUUGGUGGUGAGGGCUGCUUGGAUGGCCACUCGGAAACAUUCUGUGGCGCCUUGGAAGUCGGCGCGCACAGUUAUGAUUCCUUGCGGUCCUGGCAUCUUCAGUAUCAUGUAUGUAUAGUGCGGAAUGGCCAUGAAUUUAGCCAGCCCCGGCCUCCCGAUGAUGGCGUUGUACCCGCAGUCGAAGUUCGCCACCUCGAACCUCAGGAACUCGGUUCGGUAGUUCUCCGGAGUUCCGAAGGUGACCGGCAUGUAGAUGUGGCCCAGCGGGUAUUCCCCUUCCGUCGGCACGAUGCCGAAGAAAGGGGUGUCCGACUCGCGGAGCUCUUUGAGGUGAACUCCCAAGCCUUGGAGUGUCCGGGGGAAAGUGACGUUGAUGCUGCUCCCCCCGUCCACUAGCACCUUCUUUACCCGGCUUUCUCGGAUCACCGGAUCGACGAGAAGCGGGUAUUUGCCUGGAUGGUCGAAGUUGAGCCAUUGAUCCUCCCGAGUGAAAGUGAUCGGGUGCUCCGACCACCGGUAUGGGGCGGGAGGACCGGUGGUCGCCACCAGUAUCUGGCGGUCGUUGAGCUUUUGUUGUCUUCUGUUUUCCUGCGACCCAUGUCCGCCGAAGAUGACGUUGACCUCCCUGUCAACGCGCAGGAAAGCUCCUCCUCCCCCCUCCUCCUGCUGAUGGGGCUGUCGUGGUUCAUCUGGUCCUCCCCUCGGCGGAGGAGGCGGUAGAGGUUGGAAGGGUCGGCCGUGCCCGACAGAGUGCUUGAAGUCCCGGCAGUUACGAAGAGUGUGGCGCAUGUCCUUGUGGUACGGGCACUGGGCGUCGAGGAUGUCGUCCAGCGUGCGCUCGCCUCCACGAGGUCCUCCUCGGGCGCGAGAGGCGGGUGGUCCGGCGGCGUGUACUUCUUCACGAGGCCUCUUCUCCCAGCGUUUGUCGGGUGGUUGGUUCGCGUCACGUCGCGGUGCUGCCGGUGCAGGCUUUGCUCCCCCAAUGAGAUCCUGGGCCCGCUCGUCAGUGGUGAUGUAGAGGUCAGCUUCCCGGAACAGCUCCUCGGAGGUAGUCGGUGCUUUUUGUAGUAUGGCUCGGACGAAAGCCGAGUCAUUGGAUCCUCUGUAGAAGUCCUCGAUCACGGCCGCCUCCGUGACUUCGGGGAUACAGUUUCUCAUGGUCUGGAACCUUUUGAGGUACGACCGGAGAGUCUCGUCCCCCCGGCGCUUGAUGGAUUUGAGGUCCCAUGGUUGCGCUGGUUUGUCGGAGAGGGACUGGAAGUUGGCGGUGAAACGUCGACUGAAGUCUCCCCAGUCGUCGAUGCAGUGUCGGGGUAGAUGCCGUAGCCACUGCAGCGCGUCUUGCCCAAGGACAAUGGGCAAAUACGCGGUCAUGACGUCUUCAGAUGCCCCGGCAGCCCGAGCAGCGGUGGUGUAGACGGCUAACCAACCCCCUGGAUCCUGCUUAGGUUCAUAUUUGUCGACAUUGGAUACCUUGAAGUUGGGAGGCCAUUGGAUGGCCCUAAGGCGCGGAGUAAGAGCAGAUACUCCGCACGUGUCCUCCUGCCGUCGGGAACGAUGUCUGUCCCGGGGAGGGGAGUGGUGGUGGUGGUUCCUCGACCGUCCCCGGGUGGUUCCGCCAGUUGAGGCUGUUGCCGACUCAGUCCUGGUGGCCUGGCUUUGAGUCGGGAAGCCGUGAUCUCGGUCAUACUCCUCCCGACGGCGAAUUUCGUUUUCAUGCCGCCGUUCACGCAAAGCAUUGAUAGAGCUUCGCGCGUCUCGUCGACUGUUGAUGGCGUGUCGCAAAUCGUUCGGCGGGUGAGCGAGUGGUAGAAGAUGGUUGGCCGCCUGAGUGAACAGGCGUCGGUAUCCCUCGGUGUCGGGAGUCCGAGGAAGUCCGUCAGCUAUCCGAGCUAGAACGCCCCCGACUUUGCUCGGCGUGUUCAUAGCUCGGGCGAAGUCGGGGUUCAGGUUGCGCCUGAAGAGCGGGUUCUCCCGGCGUUGCCUCGCAUCCUGCUCGGCUUGCUCCUGAGUCCAUCGGCGAUCACGUCGUCGGGAGUUCCUUCGUUCCCUGAAGACGCGUUCUUCCGGGGUUUCUCCUAUCUCCGAGACCUCGUCUCGCGAGACAGGCUGCUCCGGAUCCCGUUCUCCGGUCGCGUGAUGUCGUCGAACGUUCCUGCGUCGGUUCCUCCGUCGACGGGAUUCUCGUUGAGGUGGUUCUUCUCCAGGCGCAGUCGGUUCGUCGUCAGAGACGGCGGGCGACUCCACUCUCCCGAUGAAGAGGACGUCGGGGUAGAAUGGUGCUGCUGUCGUGGCGACUUUCUUUCCGUUCUCCUUUGAGGCCGGAGGAACGGAAAGAACGACUUGCCUUUCUCUGGUCUCCUUCUUUCUCGCGAUCUGUGUCCAUUCCUUCGUCGGGGAAGUAGACAGCGGAGUCUUCCGGGUCAGCGAGCUUCCAGCUCCAGCCUUCCCGGAGAUAAUCUUUUUCCGAAGAGCCGGAGGUAGCGUCUUUCCAGCAUUUUCGGAGUUUGUUGGAGGAGACUUCUUUUCCGGCAGAUCUGCGAGGCGGUGUAGAAUUCCCUCUUCAUCUGCUACAGAUGAGAUUGUCCCGAAGCAGAAUACAGAUCCGGGACGCACGGUGAUCUUGCUGUGGAAGGUGACGGCCAUUGAGCUAGCUUGGAUCGUCGACACACCCCCUACCUGGCGCGCCAGCUGUCGGUGUUUUGGGUCCGACCACACACCUGGGGUUACCCCCCAAGGUGUUUUUAGGAGUAGGACGGUGUCAACGACUGUAGCAAAAUGGUUCGUGCCGAUUGCACGAGGGACAGCAGACAAGAUUUGCAGGUUCGGGCCGCUUAGAGAUGCGUAACACCCUACGUCCUGAUGAGUAUUUGAGUGUGGUUACAAGAGGGCUCUCUGGAACGGAGGCACAGAGAGUUUACAUGGGUGGCUAAGUAAAGUAGGGUCGAUCGAUCUGAAGGGGUGCCCCCUAGGCCUUAUAUACUCGACCGUGGGGCAGUACACGUGGAUAUGAUAACAACAAGUAGCUGAAAGAUAGUAAACCUCUUGAGUUUAUCCCUACGUAACCCUUGCCGACUUAUCCUCGCAUGGCUCUGUUGCAUGGGGGCUUCAGCGCAGGAAAGUCGGGUCUCUGUUGCGAUUUACUCGCCCGACGUUGUGGGCCGUCCGGGUUUGCUCCAAUCCAGUCUUACGUCUUCUCUGCUUCGUUGAUUGUCUCUCCCCAGGCCCACGAAAGAACGACCUUACGAUUUAUUGGGCCCUUGGGCCUUUCGUGAGGUCUUUUAUCUCUUUAGUGGACCCGGGGGAUAUCUAUCCCCCACACUCACUAUCUUAAAAGCCGGGAGGUUGCUCAACAUAGACCUCCUCUUUGAUUGGUCCAUUUAGGAAGGCACUUUUCACGUCCAUUUGGUAAAGCUUGAAGCCAUGGUAAGUAGCAUAGGCAAGUAAAAUGCGAAUUGACUCAAGCCUAGCUACGGGUGCAUAGGUUUCACCGAAAUCCAAACCUUCGACUUGUGAAUACCCCUUGGCCACAAGUCGGGCUUUGUUCCUUGUCACCACACCAUGCUCAUCUUGUUUGUUGCGGAAGACCCACUUGGUUCCUACAACAUUUUGGUUAGGACAUGGAACUAAAUGCCAUACCUCAUUCCUUGUGAAGUUGUUGAGCUCCUCUUGCAUCGCCAGCACCCAAUCCGAAUCUUGAAGUGCUUCCUCUACCCUGUGUGGCUCAAUAGAGGAAACAAAAGAGUAAUGUUCACAAAAGUGAGCAACACGAGAUCGAGUGGUUACCCCCUUAUGAAUGUCGCCGAGGAUGGUGCUCACGGGGUGAUCUCGUUGGAUUGCUUGGUGGACUCUUGGGUGUGGCGGUCUUGGACCCUCAUCAUCUUCCUUGUCUGGAUCAUUGGCAUCUCCCCCUUGAUCAUUGUCCUCCUCUUGAGGUGGCUCCUCUUGAUCUUCAUCAUCAUCAUCUUGAGCUUGAUCCUCAUCUUGAGUUGGUGGAGAUGCUUGCAUUGAGGAAGAUGGUUGAUCUUGUACUUGUGGAGGCUCUUUGGAUUCCUUAGGACACACAUCCCCAAUGGACAUGUUCCUUAGCGUGACGCACGGAGCCUCUUCAUCAUCUAGCUCAUCAAGAUCAACUUGCUCUACUUGAGAGCCGUAAGUCUCAUCUAACACAAUGUCACAAGAAACUUCAACUAGUCCAGUGGACUUGUUAAAGACUCUAUAUGCCCUUGUGUUUGAAUCAUAUCCUAGUAACAAGCCUUCUACAGCCUUAGGAGCAAAUUUAGAUUUUCUACCUCUUUUAACAAGAAUAAAGCAUUUGCUACCAAAGACUCUAAAAUAUGAAACAUUGGGUUUUUUACCGGUUAGGAGUUCAUAAGAUGUCUUCUUGAGGAUUCGGUGAAGAUAUAACCGGUUGAUGGCGUAGCAAGCGGUGUUGACCGCCUCGGCCCAAAACCGAUCCAAAGUCUUGUACUCAUCAAGCAUGGUCAUUGCCAUGUCCAAUAGAGUUCUAUUCUUCCUCUCCACUACACCAUUUUGUUGUGGUGUGUAGGGAGAAGAGAACUCAUGCUUGAUGCCCUCCUCUUCAAGAAAGUUUUCGAUUUGUGAGUUCUUGAACUCCGUCCCGUUGUCGCUUCUAAUCUUUUUGAUCCUUAAGCCGAACUCAUUUUGAGCCCGUCUCAAGAAUCCCUUUAAGGUCUCUUGGGUUUGAGAUUUUUCUUGCAAAAAGAACACCCAAGUGAAGCGAGAAUAAUCAUCCACAAUUACAAGACAAUACUUACUCCCGCCGAUGCUUAUGUAAGCUAUCGGGCCGAAUAGGUCCAUGUGGAGUAGCUCGAGCGGCCUGUCGGUCGUCAUGAUAUUCUUGUGUGGAUGAUGAACACAAACUUGCUUCCCUGCUUGACAUGCGCUACAAACCCUGUCUUUCUCAAAAUGAACAUUGGUUAGUCCCAAAAUGUGCUCUCCCUUUAGAAGCUUAUGAAGAUUCUUCAUCCCAACAUGAGCUAGUCGGCGGUGCCAGAGCCAACCCAUGUUAGUCUUAGCAAUUAAGCAAGUGUCGAGUUCAGCUCUAUCAAAAUCUACUAAGUAUAGCUAACCCUCUAACACUCCCUUAAAUGCUACUAAAUCAUCACUUCUUCUAAAGACAGUAACACCUAAAUCUGUAAAAAGACAGUUGUAGCCCAUUUUACAUACUUGAGAAACGGAAAGCAAAUUGUAAUCUAAAGAAUCUACAAGAAAAACAUUGGAAAUAGAAUGGUCAGGUGAUAUAGCAAUUUUACCCAAUCCUUUGACCAAACCUUGAUUUCCAUCCCCGAAUGUGAUAGCUCGUUGGGGAUCUUGGUUUUUCUCAUAGGAGGAGAACAUCUUUUUCUCCCCUGUCAUGUGGUUUGUGCACCCGCUAUCGAUGAUCCAACUUGAGCCCCCGGAUGCAUAAACCUAUAAAACAAUUUUAGGCCUUGUUCUUAGGUACCCAAACGGUCUUGGGUCCUUUGACAUUAGAAACAAGAACCUUGGGUACCCAAACACAAGUCUUUGACCCCUUGUGUUUGCCUCCAACAUAUUUGGCAACUAUUUUGCCUGAUUUGUUAGUAAGCACAUAAGAUGCAUCAAAAGUCUUAAAUGAAACAUUAGGUUCAUUUGAUGCAAUAGGAGUUGUCUUCUUAGGCAAUUUAUCACGGGUUGAUUGCCUAGAACUAGAUGCCUCACUCUUAUACAUAAAAGCAUGAUUAAAACCAGAGUGAGACUUCCUAGAGUGAAUUCUCCUAAUUUUAUGCUCGGGAUAACCGACAGGGUACAAAAUGUAACCCUCGUUAUCCUGAGGCAUGGGAGCCUUGCCCUUAACAAAGUUAGAUAAUCUUUUAGGAGGGGCAUUGAGUUUGGCAUUGCCUCCCUAUUGGAAGCCAAUGCCAUCCUUAAUGCCAGGGCGUCUCCCACUAUAGAGCAUACUACGAGCAAAUUUAAAUUUCUCAUUUUCUAACUCGUGCUCGACAAUUUUAGCAUCUAAUUUUGCUAUAUGAUCAUUUUUUGUUUAAUCAUAGCAAUGUGAUCAUGAAUAGCAUCAAUGUUAACAUCUCUACAUCUAAUGCAAAUUGUAACAUGCUCAACGGUAGAUGUAGAGGGUUUGCAAGAAUUUAGUUCAACAAUCUUAGCAUGUAAAAUGUCAUUCUCAUCUCUAAGAUUGGAAAUGAAAACAUUGCAAACAUCUAAUUCCCUAGCCUUAGCAAUUAAUUUUUCAUUCUCAUUUCUAAGGUUAGCAAGAGAGGCAUUCAAUUUUUCAAUCUUAGCAAUUGAACUAGCAUUAUCAUUUCUAAGAUUGUUAAUUGAAUCAUCACAAACAUUUGAUUUUUCAAUCUUAGCAAUUAAUUUGGCAUUUUCAUUUCUAAGGUUGGAAAUAACAUCAUGGCAAGUGCUUAGCUCACUAGAUAAUUUUUCACAUUUUUCUACCUGUAGAGCAUAAGCAUUUUAACCUUAACAUGCUUUUUAUUUUCUUUAAUUAGGAAGUCCUUUUGGCUAUCCAAGAGUUCAUCCUUCUCAUGAAUAGCACUAAUUAAUUCAUUUAAUUUUUCCUUUUGUUGCAUGUUUAAGUUGGCAAAAAGAGUAAGCAAGUUAUCCUCAUCAUCACUAGAAUUAUCCUCAUCACUAGAAGUUGCAUACUUAGUAGAGGAUUUUGAUUUUACCUUCUUCCUUUUAUCGUCCUUUGCCAUGAGGCAUUUGUGGCCGACGUUGGGGAAGAGAAGUCCCUUGUUGACGGUGAUGUUGGCGGCGUCCUCGUCGGAGGAGGAGUCGGUGGAGCUCUCGUCGGAGUCCCACUCCCGACAAACAUGGGCAUCGCCGCCCUUCUUCUUGUAAUAUCUCUUCUUCUCCUUUCUUCUCCCCUUCUUGUCAUCGCCCCUGUCACUAUCACUUGAUAAAGGACAUUUAGCAAUGAAAUGACCGGGCUUACCACACUUGUAGCAAACUUUCCUGGAGCGGGGCUUGUAGUCCUUCCCCCUCCUUUGCUUGAGGAUUUGGCGAAAGCUCUUGAUGAUGAGCGCCAUCUCCUCAUUGUCGAGCUUGGAGGCGUCGAUGGGGACCCUACUAGGUGUAGAGUCUUCUUUCUUCUCCUCCGUUGCCUUGAAUGCAACGGGUUGUACAUCGGGUGUGGAGGAGGCGCCUUGCUCGAUGAUUUUCUUGGAGCCUUUGAUCAUCAACUCAAAGCUCACAAAUUUUCCUAUCACUUCCUCAGGAGACAUUAGCUUAUAUCUAGGAUCACCACGAAUUAAUUGAACUUGAGUGGGAUUAAGAAAUACGAGUGAUCUAAGAAUAACCUUGACCAUUUCAUGGUCAUCCCACUUGGUGCUCCCGAGGUUGCACACUUGGUUCACCAAAGUUUUGAGCCGGUUGUACAUUGCUUGUGGCUCUUCCCCUUGGUGAAGCAUGAAGCGACCGAGCUCCCCCUCGAUCGUUUCCCUCUUGGUGAUCUUGGUCACCUCGUCUCCUUCAUGUGCGGUCUUGAGCACGUCCCAAAUCUCUUUGGCACUCUUCAACCAUUGCACCUUAUUAUACUCCUCUCGACUUAGAGAGGCAAGGAGUAUAGUAGUGGCUUGGGAGUUGAAGUGUCGGAUUUGUUCGACCUCCUCCGAAUCAUAAUCCUUGUCCCCUUCUUUUGGUACCUACGCUCCAUACUCAACCAUAUCCCAUAUGCUUUUGUGGAGUGAGGUUAGGUGAUGCCUCAUUUUAUCACUCCACAUAGAAUAAUCUUCACCUUCAAGCAUAGGUGGUUUGCCUAAUGGAACGAAAAGUAAUGGAGUGCAUUUUGAAAUACGAGGAUAGCGAAGGGGCAUCUUACUAUACUUCUUGCGCUCAUGGCGUUUAGAAGUUGCGGAUGCCGAUUCCGAGCCGGAGGUAGAGGGUGACGAAGAGUCGGUCUCGUAGUAGACUACCUUCUUCAUCUUCUUCUUCUUGUCACCCUUCCGUUGGGACUUGAUGGAGGAAGAGGAUUCCUCCUUGUGCUUGUGGGCGGACUCCCUUGAGUGCAUUCUCCCCGAGCUUGCGGACUUGUCGCCGGUCCCGAUCUCCAUCUUGGCGGAUGCUCCCGAUAUCACUUCGAGCGGUUAGGCUCUAAUGAAGCACCGGGCUCUGAUACCAAUUGAAAGUCACCUAGAGGGGGGUGAAUAGGGCGAAUCUGAAAUUUACAAACUUUAAGCACAACUACAAGCCGGGGUUAGCAUUAGAAAUAAAAACGAGUCCGAAAGAGAGGGCGAAAACAAAUCACAAGCAAAUAAGGUGGAUGACACGGUGAUUUGUUUUACCGAGGUUCGGUUCUUGCAAACCUACUCCCCGUUGAGGUGGUCACAAAGACCGGGUCUCUUUCAACCCUUUCCCUCUCUCAAACGGUCACUUAGAUCGAGUGAGCUUCUCUUCUCAAUCAAACGGGACACUAAGUCCCCACAAGGACCACCACACAAUUGGUGUCUCUUGCCUUGGUUACAAUUGAGUUGAAAUCAAGAAAGAAUGAGGAAGAAAAGCAAUCCAAGUGCAAGAGCUCAAAUGAACACAAGUAUCUCUCUCUCUCACUAGUCACUAUUUGAUUGGAAUUGUCUUUCGACUUGGGAGAGGAUUUGAUCUCUUUGGUUGUGUCUUGUAUUGAAUGCUAUAGCUCUUGUAUGAGGUGUGAAGGCUGAAAACUUGGAUACCUUGAAGUGUGGUGGUUGGGGGGUAUUUAUAGCCCCAACCACCAAAAGAACCGUUGGUGAGGGCUUCUAUCGUAUGGCGCACCAGACAGUCCGGUGCGCCACCGGACACUGUCCGGUGCACCAGCCACGUCACCAGGCCGUUGGAUUCUGACCGUUGGAGCUUCUGACUUCUGGGCCACCGGACAGUCCGGUGGUGCACCGGACAGGUCCUGUAGACUGUCCGGUGCGCCUUCUGGCUCUGCUCUGACUUCUGCGCGCACUGUAGCGCAUUAACUGCUCCCUGCAGACAACCGUUGGCGCAAAGUAGCCGUUGCUCCACUGGCACACCGGACAGUUCGGUGCUACACCGGUCAGUUCGGUGAAUUAUAGCGGAGCGGCUCCCAGAAUUCCCGAAGGUGAGCAGUUCGAAGUUGGGUUCCCUGGUGCACUGGACACAGUCCGGUGGCACACCGGACAGUCCGGUGCGCCAGACCAAGGCACACUUCGACAGUCUUUUGCUCUCUUUGUUUAACCCUUUCUUGGUCUUUUUAUUGGUUUGUUGUGAACCUUUGGCACCUGUAAAUCUUAUAAUCUAGAGCAAACUAGUUAGUCCAAUUAUUUGUGUUGGGCAAUUCAACCACCAAAAUCAAUCAGGAAAAGGUGUAAGCCUAUUUCUCUUUCACCCGCCUCCUCCUCGUGGUAAGUACCUCCCAGAGCGCCACUAGCCAAAUUUGUCCCGCCACUGUGUUCGCCUGGGUCCGGCCGCGCUAGCCCACCUCCCUGACCCUUGAGAACCGGAACCGUGGCGGAGAACCACCGUGGAACCUCGUCGGCGGUCUGUUUCCCCGACCCCGUCCGGUUCGCCCCCCCCCCCCCCCCCGUCAGCCGGCCGACGCCGUCGGCCCUCCCCCUUUCUCUAACGCGUGGGCUCGCGCUCACGGUGUCCGCCCGCGCCGUCUGGGCUAGCUCGCCCGUGACGCCGCGUGCCCGCGUUGGGCCAAAAUCCCCCUCGGGCCCAGCUAACCGAGAAUCCCCUCUCUUUUUCCUUUUCCUAUUUUCAUAUAUAUGUAUAUAUGUUGAUAUUUUAUGCACAAAAAAUAGUCCAAAAAUUCUUUAAGUCACAAAUAAUAAUACUUAGAACUUGACACACUAUAGUAGCCAAAAAUGUUUGAUGUAUUGUUGUUGCCUGUUUUGCAAGGUGGAGAAGGGUCCGACCCUCCGGAAAUCGUAGCUCCGAAAGAAGGGUCGAAGCCCGACCUCCCAAAAAUAGAUCUUUCGCGCCAAGAGAACUUUGACGAAGGCAAGUCCAUUCUUCCCUUGAUGCAUAAAUUACCUACUCUUUCUAGCACUGCCUAAGUCGGGAAUAUGGAUUGGAAUCUAUGCAUUGUGAGAUGAGUGAUAGCCUGCAUUAAAGAAUAUCUUUUGGGUACCAAAAUGUGGGUCGAGGCAAUAGUGGUUUUUCUAAAAAGAGAAAUGUUUUCAAAGAAGUGUAUGAUGAAGGGAAUUCACCCUUAUCACCAACUGAGUGGGAUGAUCAGGGACUCCCUGGUUUAGGGGAGGGCCUCAGGUGUUGGCUCGGCCAGGUUAGGUGUGAGCAUGAAGGAUCGUCCCCUCAUAUAAGAAUCGGUUUGUAAUCCUUCACUACCUGUACUCAUGACAAGUACAACCACUCGAGAUUGUAUUGGCGGUCACUCAAUCUGAACUUGUACGGUCCAAACCCUAGGGUUAUGAUGGCUGGGGAGCACCGGGAGGAUAAGGAAGGGGAAUGUUUUGUCCGAUUUGGGCAUGGUGGUGGCCUGACUCCUACCGAUAUAAUCUUUAAGGUAAGGACGUGCAAGGAAGGAAAGAGUUUCGAAUUCGGGUCUCAUUGGCCAUGAGACCGCAGCGCCGGACUAGUGGGUAAAGUGUACACCUCUGCGCAGAGUUUGAAACCUAUUCAAAUAGUCCAUGUCCACUGGUAUGGACGAGUCUGGUGUGGUAUAGCAAUUAGUGUUUUGAUCUUCGUAAAAAGGGAAAGUGUGUGGGUGUUUUUGGAAAUAAAAACUAAGCCACAGGAGCGGUAAGCUCAGUGGUGGUCGAGUGUGAAAAGGUGCUACUCCUCUCUUUUAGGUAAACCAUCAAGUAUCGCCUUUCUCUGAAAAAGAAAUGAGUGACUUCAACUCCACCAUACCAAGCAUGUACCAUAUAUGCCUCUCUCUCUUUACGGGCGGGAUGGGCUUGCGAAAUACCUAGUGUAUUCACACAGAUUUAUCUAUGUUUUUCAGCAGCUGAAGACUUCUUUUCUGCUAUGUUCGAAUAGAAGGGGGCUGUGUCUGCACCAGUCUGCCCGUGGCUUGGGCUAGAUGAUCUUCCACUGUGCUAUGUUUCUAAGCUCGCUAGAGCUUGUAUUUUGGUAUUGUAAUAACUAUUAUUGGAGACUCUGUACUAUUUGAAGAAAUGAAUAUGUUUACUAGCCUCCUGGGACUAGUAAUUAUAUCAAAUUUGAGUCCCAAAGGAUCGGGACGCUUCAAUUAAUACAUAACGGAGUUCUGUACAAAAUAGUUAAAUAAUUACAUCAUAUGAAGACAACGAUCCAGCAACCAUAGUUGACUGGGAGACGACGGCCUAGACCACUCACGAGCUCAUCACAACAUCCUUCACGCACCUCAUCCUGUGGUACCUAUCCUUGACCUAGGGGUGUGAGUACAACAAGGGUGAGCUCACAUACGUUCAUCGCUCAACAAGUUGUGGGGAAUAAUGUGCAUGAACUCACCAAAGGUGGGAGCUCAUGUGAAGUGUAAGUCUUACCAAAGGAGAUGGUUGAAGCUGAACAUUGCUUUUAGAGUUGGUCAAAAUUUUAUUAGUAGUUACUAAGUAUUAGUAGACACCAACCCAAGUAAGUAAGAGAUCAAGAUUAAUAAUAACACCUGCAAUACAAUGCAUCUGACAGAUUAAGUUUAAUUCCAUAAAUUAAUCAUGUGAGUGUCUGAGCCACUCAUGACUGUGAGCACGACUGAUAUACCAGUUUUACACUCUAUUGAGGUUGCACAUCUUUACCCACAAGUCGUGUAUCCCGUCUAGCCAGGGUUUGCAAGGCCCUUAGACACUUCCGAGGUGAAUGGCUAGGGAUCCACUACGAGGCCUUUACAAAGUUACACUAGCUUCAAAAAAACCUGCUACGAUUUAUAAGAAGGGCAAUAUAGGAAUCCCUCGUCUAAAAAACCAUUACAGCAUGAUCGACCCGAGAACCUUCCUAUACGCAGCUCCUCUACCGCCCUUGCCCCUUUCGGGUAAGGUAGUCCUCCACUAGCUUUCCUAAUUAGUCAGCCAAUGACGUCUCAUACCACCCUUGUGGUAGUAAUGUUUUCCUGGGUGGUUCUCCAUGUUCCAAUUAACAUAAUGAUCUUAUCAUGAACAAUAAUCAAUAACUGAAUUGGAACAUGAACAUAAUAUAACAUUACUUUUCCAAAAUCAGGUAUAGCAAUAGCAAAACUACCCAAUAGUUCUUUUGUCUGCAAGGUGUGGGAUAAACAAUGCUAGGGAAGCCUAUUAGGUCCCAUCAAUAUAACCUGAGCAUGUCACAGUGAUUAAUAGGAACAUUAUUAGGUAAAGAAGAGUGAUCAAGGGCACAACUUCCCUUAGAUUCGAGAUUCCCAGGUACUUCACCAACUUGGUCUUCAAGUGACUCCUGACCUCACUUCUAUUCGUAGCAAUACAUACAAAUGGACAAGGAGUACAUAAAAAUAACAUUACACCAAACAUGAGAACAAAUAACGUAAGAAUAUUCUAUGCGCUGCUACGAGGUCGUAGGUUCGAGAAUCACUAAAUUCGGAGUUACGGUUAUAAAUUUAUGGUUUUCGAAGUUUUAAGUGUCUACUAUAAAACAAAUAAGGUACAUGAUUUUAACCAUAGGUUUCAUGGUAAUACAAGGUUACUAGAUGGUAAACAAUAUUAAUAUGAGAUUAAUGUAAUUGUAAUGGAUCAAAAAGGAAUUAAAAUGAAUUAUUUAUGAAUUAAACAAGUUUCUGGAAUUAUUUCUAUACUAGAAAACAUUUUCUGAAGUAAUUUACUCAUUUUAUUUAACCUUUGGGAUGCGGGGACUCAGUUUAUUCCAGAAAACUUGGGGUUCAAUUCAUAAAUAUCGGGGACUCGGUUUUAAUUAUUUCCUAACUGGUUGGAUGGCGGGUUGAUUUGAAAUAAACCAGAGGGCCUCUUUAUAAAGAUGAACAUGGCAAAGGGGUACGGUGGAUUGCUAGCCAUGGGAUCCAAAUCCGACGGCGGCACCUGAACCGGUAUUCUAUCACAGCAGUCGGAUCUAAAAUCAAUGCUCGAGAUUAAAGGAUCCCGCGAUCUGAUCUCGGCCAACAGAUCUGAGAUCAACGACUAUGAUUUUCGAUCACGACGGGGUAUUUGAGAUUCAAUCGUGAGCGCUCAUCACCGGAUCGACGACCAAGGUCGUUUCUCCCCUGCACGAUCCUGUUCACGCGGAACGGGGCUACAACAUCCUGCCCGUGGUGGCAGGCCCACCGGCGAGCGGUGGCUGCUGCGAGGCUAUAGAUGAGUCUUUGAUUGAUGGCUUGAGGUGUUAUGGUGGCAUGUAUUUAUAUAGGCUGGGAGGUGGAUGGUUACAUGAUAGAUCUAAUCUGGUACUUAUCUGUUACAACCAUAUCCUAUAUAUUAGGAACUCUAACAAACUCAAAACUAAAUCCGUUAUAUGAUAGAUCUAAUCUAGUACUUAUCUAUUACAAUCCUAUCUUAGGUGGGUGGUUACAUGACAGAUCUAAUAUGGUACUUAUCGGUUACAAUCAUAUCCUAUCUGUUAGAAACUCUAACUAACUCUUUUAUUACAAUAAUAUCAUUGUUAAUUUGUACUAAUCAUAUUAGACCUUCAAUUUAAAUAAUUCUUAGAAUAUAUUUUUAUUUAAAAUUUUUAAUUAAAUUUUUGAGUGUUAUACGCGAACUGAAAGGAGUAUUUUCUUAAAUAUCUUAUUGUGGUAUCCUAAUUUGUAUCGACUUUACCUAAAGGACGUCGUGUACACACAAACCAAUCAAACAUACAUCGAUCCAUUAUAUUAGCUCAUAUUUCUAAUUUUUGCUUUCUAUUUUAAAUUUAAAAUUGAAGUCUAAUUUAGAGAUGAGUUAAAAUUUCUAUUUCAAGCAUAAAUUGCAACAAACAAAAACUCCACAUGAAUGCAAAGCAUUUUUAUUAAUUAAUUUAUCCAUUUAAGCAAAUGAAAAUUAGUAGGAAUAAUUUAUGUAACAUGUUUUACAAUAAUAAUUAUUAAAGAAAAUAAUUCAAAAACAUAGCCACAUUUUAGAAGUUCAAUAAAAUAAAUUUAUAAUCUUCACAUAUUUAUUUAAAAGGAUAUAAUUUCUUAUGUAAAAUCUAUAUUAAGAGAUAGUUUAACUUAAUUGUUUUUUGGAGAAUAAAUAUUUAACACAAAUGAUAGUUCACAUAAGAAUCUUUUAGGUAAUCUAUAUUUGAAAACACAUUUAUUUAAAUCAUGAAAUGAGUUUUCUUAAUUUAUCCAGAAUAGAAUUUUGGAGUGUUACAUGCAACAAGGCCUAAAAUCUCAUUUGUAGUGAGCAAAUUAAGUAGAUUCAUAUCAAACCCUGGGACUGAUCAUUGCCAUGCACUUGAGCAGGUUAUACGCUACUUGCACAAUAUAAUGAGAUAUGACAUUCACUAUUCUGGUCAGCAUGCAGUACUUGAUAAAUAUAGUAAUUCGAACUGGAUAUAUGUUGUAGACGAGCUUUAUGCCACUAGUGGUUAUGUCUUUACUAUUAGUGGAGGCGUGGUAUCAUGGAGGUCGUGCAAGCAGACCAUCUUGACGUGGUCAACAAUGAAAGCUGAGUUCGCUGCACUUGACACCUCAACUGUUGAGGCAGAAUGGUUAUGUGAACUCUUUAUUGACUUGCUGGUGGUUGAAAAAACAAUAUCGUUUAUCCUUAUGAACUGUGACAACAGACUGUGAUUGCCAAAGUGACAAGUUAUAAGGAUAAUUCCAUCAAGACAUGUCAAAAGACGAUUGAAGUCUGUUAGAAAGUUGAGAAACUCUAGAGUUAUAAGUGCGACUUAUAUUUCAACCGAUAAAAAUCUUGCAGAUCCCUUUAUAAAGGAGCUACCACCUAAUGUGAUAGAAAUCACAUCGAGAGAGUGGGUAUGAGACCUGUAUAAGUUGUCACCGUGGAAACUCAGUCUAUGCGAUCGGAAAUCCCGUGAAUUAGGUCAUGGGAAGAACAAACCAUUGGUAAACUGAGGAUAGUUACUUUUGACCCUCUCUAAGUGAAGAUGCAAUACUCAGACGUUGUAAGGCAGGUUGCCUUUGAGCCUUAAUGUGUUUCUGUUGGCUUUUACUAGCAAAGACAUUGUCCUGCAGAACAUUCUUGAAAGAACAUACCUAUAUGAGUUUGACUAUCUAACAUCGCAGUCUAUGAGAUCUGGGUGAUCUCUAGUAAACUCAUAAAGAGACCUUGGAGUACGAUGGAUAUGCUCAACUGCAGAGGGAACUACUGGUAGCCAGGUACUAGUUAUGGCUAUGAGUGAAACCCGCUCACACAAAACAUGCAAUUCAAGGCAUAGUCCAUUAUUCAAGUUGUGAAUUGGUGUAGCUUGAAGUUCUAUGCAGAAGUUCAAAUUAAUAGCCUCUGUUGAAACACUAGUAUAUUAAACUGUAGUGAAUAGUGGCAAAACUUUAGAUGGACAUUUGAGAUCUAGUGGGGGGUUGUUGGAUUAAUGGGCUUGGCCCAAGUUGAGAAAAUUCAAUUAAAUUCUAGAAAAUCUCAAAAGCUCAUGUAUGGGAGAUAUGGUAAGAGAUGGUGGGAACCAUAGAUUCACAUUGCUAGUCUAAGUUGAGUGAGACUAGCUUAUAUGUGGAGGCAUCCCUCUCCCUUUAAGUUAUGGAUGAGGUGGGAGAGGAUGGAACACCACACGCGCAAGCGCUUGCUCACCUCGCCUUGCCUGGCUUGGCUAGGCUCGAGCUUGGGCACGGGCAGAGGCGAGGGCGUGUGACGUGCGCAUGAAUGGUCUGCCAAAAUUCGGCUCCUUGUCUUGUGGGGACACGACUUCCUUUUGCUAUUUUCUAUUUUUAUUUUUUGUUGUGGUUGCUUUGCUAUUAAGUUUAGAGCCCUCAUCCGGUCACUACUAGAUCGAGACAUGGGUCCUUAUCGGAUCACUUACAGGUCUUAACGUGAGUCCUUAUCCUUAGAUCGAGGGACUACAUGUGGCUCUAUAAAUAGCGCCUAAUAGUCGCAACUAGAUUCAUCCCAACUCACGAAAUCUAGGUUUUGCCUCUCUCUCUUUUGCGUCGUCGUAGUCUUAUUCAUCACGAGCGUCAAUGGGUAUCUGCAAUCAGGAGAGCAGCGAAACUCUGUCUUCAAAAUCCUACACCAGAAGAGGACAAACAAGGUUUUUAGAAAGCAACUUACAAUUGUCUGACGACCGCCACUGUCGUCUUCCCUGCUGCAUCACGGUACCAUCCAGUAUAUCUAAACAUAUACGCCAUCUAAUCUAAUCUUAUAUUUCAGUUUAUUUGUUCUUAUUGAUCUAUUCUUCGUACCGGUUACUUGCAUGAUAUAAGAACAGCAUGCUAUCUAUAUUCGAAAUUCAAUAUAGAAACUAGCAUGCUAUCUAUAUUCGAAAUUCAAUAUAGAAACUAUCUAAUUAUUCAACGGUACUGUUGAGUUUUUUUAUUUAUAUUACGCAUUUAAGUUGUGUCCUUUAUAUAGUUGGAUACCUAGUGAUAGAGUUAGAAACUAGCCUACUCUUUUACGAUAAAUAUAGCAACAUAUUUAUCAAAACCUUAAUUACACAUCAAGAUACACCAUUUUAUUAUAUAGAUUUUGAUAAAUUAGAAAUUAGCAUAGUUUUGUUAAAAUAAAAGUUUCAUUAAAAUAAAAUUAAAAGCCAUAGUAUUAGAAAUAUAUUGUAAGUUAUCUAAUUCACCUUUCUUUUAACUUCACGGUCCGUAAAAUCCAUACACAGCCAAUAUCCAUGGAAGGAAAAGUUCGAUUCAAUGAAAUAGAAGAAAAAAACAUCGUUGAUCCAAAGCAUUAGAUUAUACACAAUGCUGCCAUGGACUCCUCCCCAGUGUCAUUUAGUUUAAGACCAGAUAACAAUUUUUUUGAAGACCAACAACAUACACUUCUCCCACCACACAAGCCAUCACAUCUACACGAAGCCUCGUCAACGACGCUUGGCUCCUUUAGUGUCGGUGAAUCAACUCUUAACGCCACACCUGUAAAAUCCCCCAAAACAACCGAAGCCCAACCUGUAUAUCAUGUGAAAGAAAGGAAUUAACUAGCCCAGAUCCUGUCCAAUCUGUCGACACUCUUCCGGCCACAAUCCAGCUGCUCAAUGUUCCUCUUUGGCCUCUCGAAGAUAUCAACACUUCUCCUGGAUUUCUCGAACUGAUCAAAUGAUAUCUUUAGCUUGUCUACCUUCUCGACGUUGCUAUAUCUAUGUUCAGUGUUUCUCGUCUUAUCUCGAGUUGACCUUGAUUUUUUCCUUUGGUCUGUGCUCUUUCGCGAGGGUUCAAAGAAAUCAGUGCUCUUCCGCGAGGGUUCAAUCCGGUCCACAUUCUCCCUCCAUGCUUGCCUAUGGGAUGGCGAUUUCUCUAGUGAGUGGAAAAAAUUCUUGAGGUGCCGGAUGUAUUCCGGAAAGAGCUCCAAAUCACAGUGCUUUCCUCCCCUGAGCCAUAAGGGCUCAUACUUGUCUUUGCAAAGUUCCCAAAGUUGUUUACCAUGAGACCAAUCCACCACUUCAUCAGCAGUUCCCUACAUUUCAGCAAGAGCUAUGAGCACCAGUAAUGAAUCAAAUAGCAUGCAUAGAUUUGAGCAAAUUAAACCAAGAAAUGUUCAAGUUAAUGUAAAAAAAUGGUGCACUAAAUCCACCCACAAUUAAAUUGCACCACUUCAUCAAGGGUAAAUUACAAACUAAUUCCACAUGCACAACAGUAUCUGCAAUUAUUUGUAUGCUCCAACACACAAGCUCAGAGCAAAUAAUGGUCUGAUGGCACAUUUCAUAUAUUGUUGAAUGUGCCAUUCAAAUGGCAUGACAUGCAAGGGCCUAAUCCCAUGUGGCUAUGUAUAUUUUUUUUUUUCAAAACCCAGGAGAACAUUGCCUCAAUAUAUUAAGAAGAAGAAAAAAUAAAGGUCAAAGAGACCUGAUACAAAGGUCUCCUUAAAGGAGGCCAAAAACACAAAAAAAACUGAAAAAAUCCAUCAAACUCACCCAAGCCACAACCUCUAGUCUUCAGGAAGGAGGGCAGCAAGGCAUUUAGCCCUAGCCACUUCCCAAAACUGCCUCUCCUCCCUAGCUAACCUAAGGGACAAGGCCAAACUAGGAGUACAACCAUGAAAAAACACAACGGUUUCGAAGCUUCCAAAUUGUCCACGCCCCCAAGGCAACAAGGGAGUUGAAACCCUUUCCAGGUUGACCAGUGAUCAUAUCUAAGAUUUGCUCCCACCAAAUCAUGAAGGAUGAAAGCCCUGGGUGAGAAGCCAGUCCAUCAAAACCAAAAGGUUUCAGGUGGUUAAACCAGAACACUUGUGAACACACAACAGACAAGGAUAUGGUCAAGAGUUUCAGCAAGAGUUUCAGCUUCCUGAUCACAUAAGAUAGACCUAGCUGGGUGAUCCAAACCUCUCUAAGCAAGCCUGUCAGCAGUCCAGCAUCUCUUGUUUGCAGCCAGCCAAAGGAAAAACCGACACUUUGGAGGUGCCCAGGUUUUCCACACCUGAUGGUAAUGACCAAAGGAUGUUGAACCAACAAAAAGACCUUCAUAAGGCGACUUAGCCGAAUAUUUGCCAUCUGCAGCAAUAUUGAAUACAUGCUUAUCUUCAACUACAGACUACAACACUAUUUCUGAAAGAAUCUCCCAAAGGUUCAAGUAGUCCACUAUAGCUCCAACAGACAAGGCACCCUUUAUAUCAGAUACCCAUUUUCUGUUGAGGAUUGUCCUCCUAUUAGCAAUCCUUUUAGGAAUGAUGGCAAAUAACCUAGGAGCCAGAUUGCUCACAUUCUGACCCAAGAGCUAUGUGUGCUCUAUUUCCCACUUCUGAAACCAAAACAAUGGAGAAGAAAGACCUUGCCUUUUUAGAAACUUGUAUAGGGAGUUUGCCCAAUGCCUGCCUGGAUUAGUUUUAUGUAGCCACAAUCAUCUCAUACGAAGAGCCCACCGUAAUUCCUUCAAACUAGAAAUUCCCAAACCUCCCAAAUGUGCACACCAUCCCCCAGACAACCAAACAAUGUCCUCCCUUGACAUCUUUACAACCUUUCCAAAGAAAACCUUUCUUAUCUUAUCAACUACAUCUAAUGCCCAUGGAGGAAAAUCAAUGGCCAUAGCCAAAUAGACAAUCAUACUGGUGAGCACAUGUUGUACCAUAAUUCUCCUACCAGCUCUAGUCAUAAGAUCAGCUUUCCAACUUGGAAGACAGUCAGCCACUCUGUCUAUGAUUGAUUGAACCUGUUCCUUGGUCAGCUUGCGAAGGGAGAGAGGGAUUCCAAGAUAUUUGCAAGGGAAAUCAAACCUGUCACAUGGCAAUAAAUUCUGGACCAGCAGUAAGGUCAUCCUCAGAGCACCGGAUGGGGAAAACAUUAGAUUUCUGCUCGUUGUUACGGAGCCUAGAAGCCUUCCCAAACAAAUCCAAAAUACUCAUUGCAAUGGAGAUAUCUGCAGCCGAGGGACUCAGAAAAAUAACAACACCGUCAGCAUACAUAGAGAUCCGAUGGAGUUUAGAUCUUCCAGACAGUUGUUGCAAUAAACCAGAAUCCUCGGCCCUAUUAAAGAGUAGGGCCAAGACGUCCAUUACCAAGAUAUAUAGCAACGAGGAGAGAGGGUUCCCUUGCUGAAGCCCUCUUCUGUGAAUAAUCCUCCUCUCUGGAUACCCGUUGAGAAGGACUUGAGUAGAAGAUGAUGCCAGUAGCCCACAAAUAAUAUCCCUCCAAAUUUGUCCAAAACCAAGCUGCUUCAAGACCUCAAUGAGAAAAGGCCACGAGACCGAAUCAAAGGCCUUGGUGAUAUCCAAUUUAAGGAACAAGCUAGCCUUUUUUUUGUCAGUGUAAGAAUCUGGAAGUCUGUUGUACCAACAUGAAGUUAUCUUAAAUAAACUGUCCUUUAAUGAAGGCACUUUGAUUUGGAGAGAUCAUUCCAUUAAGUCCGCUAGCCAAUCUGUUAGCUAAGAUUUUGAUAAUCAAUUUGCCAAAAUUGUGCACAAGGCUUAUUGGUCUAAAAUCCUUCACAUGAUCAGCCCCCUACUUUUUUGGAAUCAAGGCAAUGUAAGCAGAGUUCAGCUUGCCAAGGUUAUCAAAAUUCUAUUCCAGAUAGCUUGAACUGCAGCCAUGAUAUCAGAUUUGAUAAUAUUCCAACAGGAUUUAUAAAAGCAUCCAGUGAAGCCAUCCGGCCCCGGAGCUUUAUCGGAAGGUAAAAGCUUAAUGGUUUCCCAUACUUCACCUUCUGAACAAGGGGUCUCAAGCUCCUACCAAAUCAUGAUGAGAAAGGCCAAGGGCCUCCAAGUCCACUGUAUGAUCUCUAUCCUGACUUGUACCAAUUAAAUUGAAGAAGAAACCAUCCACUGUUGCUGCCUUGUCCUGAUGACUGGUAAGAAUCACAUCCCCAUCAACCAAAGUAGCAAUAAAAUUCUCUCUUUCGGUGCUUGGCAUGCAAGUGGAAAAACUUAGUGUUGGCAUCACCAUCUUUAAGCCAUAAAAUCCUUGGUCUCAUCCUAGCCAUAGAACGCUUCAAGGAGGACAGAAGCAAAGAAUGUUUCUUAAGCUUGUUUUCAGCCAAAACUCAGCAGGAGUUAACACCCUUUCAUCUUGUGCUAUUUCCAGCUUAUGUAAAACUUUCUUUGCCAAGGCCAACUGAGAUCUGAUGUGUCCAACUUGCCUAUCACUCCAAGCCUACAGACUCUUGGUUGUCUUCUUCAGCUUGCGAUGAAGGGUUUGAUAAGGACAGUUCGCAUAUCCAACUGACUCCCAAGCAGCUUGCACAGUAUCUUGAAAUCCCUCCCAACUUAGGCCAAAAAGCCUCAAAAUGAAAGUGUCGUCUCCCAGAUUCAUUGUCCCAACCAAAAUUAAGGGGCAAUGAUCAGAGUCAUGGGAAGCAAUGCUUUGAAGCAUCACAUUAGGGAAGAGCAGCUCCUAGUCAACCGAGCAUAGCACUUUGUCUAACCUGACAAGAAUAGGCUCCACUUGUUAAUUAGACCAAGUAAACCGCCGCACAUGGAGAGGAACUUCUUUGAGGGCAAGAUCAUUAAUAAAACACCUAAAACGCCCCAUCAUAGCCCUGUUGGGAUUGUUGUUCUUGUCUGAGGUUUUAUAAAUUAAGUUGAAAUCCCCAGCAACGACCCAAGGUCCAAUGCAGACCUCUCUGACACUUCUUAGCUCUUGCAGGAAUAAGAUCUUCUCUUCAUCCACUUGAGGACCAUACACACAAGUCAACCACCAGGUACCUCCUCCUUCUUGCUUAUGGAAUUGAAUGGAGACACUAUGAUUAUCAACUCCGCUCUCCCCUGUGCAUCUCAAAUGGUUUUUCCAAGCCACCAAGAUUCCCCCACUAGCCCCUUCUGAAGGCAAAAAAACAUAAUCAGAAAAAUCAGACCCCAACAUGGAGACUAUGGUGCUUCUAGGAACAGAUUGAAUCUUAGUUUCCUACAGACACACAAUCUCAGCCUUAACAGCAAGAACUAAUUCUCUAACUGUAUCUUGGCGUGCACAGGAAUUAAGGCCUCGCACGUUCCAAAUCAGAAUUUUGGAUGGAUCCAUUAAUAAAAGAGAAUGCAGCAACAACCAAACAUACAAACUGCUCCCAAAAGACUGCAGCACCCUUACUGAAGAGGGACAGACUCAGGGCACUCCACCCAAAAAGAGCUGAAAGAGCCUCCACCUCACUCUGAGUCAGGGGGCAUUUAAAUAGUCUAGCAUAUUCAUCCAAGGCCUCCUGACUAAUCCCCUCAUUCAUUGUAAUAAUAUACAAGGAUCUCAUGACUUUCCUGGUAGUUCUACCUCCCAGGUCUUGCAUAUCAAAUUCCACUCCAACACCCGGAACUCGGCGACUUCUUCUUGGCAUGGGAGCAGCAGGUGGGGAAGGUGAAGGUGUGGGAAACCCUGCCCUAGUAUAGGGUAGGGAUAUGAAUUAAUAGACCUGGUGUUGGGCCUGACCCAGUACAGAGGGGCGAAAGGGUAAAUACACAGGGAAGACCCCCAAACCCCUGAUACAAUGCUAACGCCCCCCCCCCCCCGGCAGUCACAACUCUAUCCUGUACAGAUGUUGAGACUGGACCAAAAGUCUAGGAAUACACUGCUCCCUCGACUACGACCUCCUCCUCCAACCAUCCUCAACGUCGGAGCUUGUGGUUUACACCAACGCUGACUGGGUCACGCGUCGGUCCACCUCCGGCUAUGCCGUUUUUCUGGGCGUAGGGAUGGCAACGGGAAAUUCCCCGUCGGGUUUUGGCUCCCCAUACCCGUCCCGACGACAAAAAAAAGUUCUCCGCGGGGAUCCCCACAAACUCUUGUGGGGGGCGUUUCUUCCCCAUCCCCGUCGGGGAUCCCCGUUCCCGCUUAAAUUAUAAUCAUGACAUGCUUUCUUUGUUAUUAACACAAAACAUUGUCACUUAUACACAUUGUCAUAUGUUAGAAAUCAUUAUGUGUACAUCAAAAUAAACAUAUUUGUACAACGAGUUAUCUCUCAACAAUAUAAUUAUUUAUUUUUAUCAUUAUAUAUAUUACAUGAAAACAUCAUCUAAUGGAGGAAUUCCGCGCGGGGAAGCGGGGAUCAGGGGAGGAUUUUUCCCCGUUUAUAUCCCCGCGGGGGGAGAACCUUCCCCAUCCCCAUCCACUAAUGGAGGAAUUCCCCGCGGAGAAUAGGGGAUCGGGGCCUCAUUGCCAUCUCUACCUAUGCGCCAACCUCGUCUCCUGGGCCACCAAGCGACAGCCCGUCAUCUCCUGCUCCAGCGCAGAGGCCGAGUACCGCGUUGUGGCCAACGGCGUGGCAGAGGCCUCCUGGAUGCGCCAACUCCUCCACGAGCUCCACAGCCCCCUUCAGCGCACCACCCUCGUCUACUGCGACAACAUCAGCGCCAUCUACCUCUCCACCAAUCCCGUGCAACAUCAGCGCACGAAGCAUGUGGAGAUCGACCUGCACUUCGUCCGGGAGCGAGUCGUUACAGGUGACGUUCGGGUCCUCAGCGUCCCACAACGUUGCAGCUCGCCGACAUCUUCACCAAGGGGCUGUCGUCGAGUGUACUCCUAGAUUUUCGGUCCAGUCUCAACAUCUGUACAGGAUAGAGUUGCGACUGCGGGGGUGUUAGAGUACCCGUUAAGGUUUUAGGUGUUUCCUGUGUAAUUACCCUCUCGCCCCUACUGUAAUGGGCCUGGCCCAACUACCGAGUCUAUUAAUACAACUCCCAACCCCACUCAGGGGUUAGGAUUUCCCACAAGAAACAAUUGAUCACUUGUUGGCCUGUUGUGUAUUUGCUAGGGAUUUUUUGUUACAACUGCUUAUAUAGAUCAAUCUCUAGCAGCUUGCACCGCAAAAUCAUGAUGGUAGCUUCAUGGAUUGGUGGUUACGGGCCAGGCAGGGACUGAAUUCCCUAAUUAUCCUUGGAGCGUAGACAAUAUGAAAGCACAUAAAUAGCAAUGUUUUUGAUAGGCAGGCUCCAAAUCUGAAUGUGGCUCUCAGAAAAGCUCAUCAAGAGAAAGAUGUAUGGGGCUAGCAGGGGCUAAGGAGCUCUCCCUUCUAACUGCCCCUAUUCCAGGUAUUUAGUUGAGUUUAGAUGGUUGAUCUAUUUUUUAUCUAGAUUCAUGGAUCCUUUUGUGUAUUGGUGUUUUUUGCCACCAUAAAGUGGUUGUAUCAGUUUGUAAUGUUUGGUUUGGUCCAGCGUGGACUCUUCUUUUCCUCUUAAUAUAAUGAUGUGCGAUUCUCUUGCGCGUUCGAGAAAAAAAAUUGUGCACCCAAGUUACCUGAGUUCUUGGGUCAGUGCCCCGAGCCUCGAUAUGAAUGGAUGAAAUAUCCUCAAACCAAGCAUAUAGAUGUUGUUUCAGCCACUAUGAAUCGAAUCCAAGAAUUAAAGGAUCAAGGCCUCACAGCUGUCCACGUGGCUGGUAACAGGAUUCAGCGUCGAGUCCCUCCUAUACGCGAGAAGGCAAAUUAUGCCUAGGAGUAUGGCGGGAACGAGGACCCUUCCAAAUCCAAGGCUGAGUCUAUUAACAUGUCGAAGGCCAAAGGCCAGCUUCCAUGACUAUUCACUUCGAUCAACAACUGGCCCAAGGGAUGUGCAAUGGAUGUUUAUUUCCUGCUCGAGCCUCGCCCUAAAGUAUCUUUGAUAGUUCCCUAGUUUAUAUCCUUCUUGAAAUUGUAAGUCGUGUUUUGGAGCAUUUUCCAUUCUUAUUUAGAUGUUGGAACAAUGUUAUCCUUCACAAAGCCCUUCCUGGACAAUGAAUAAUACCGAUGAGACGGACCCUAGUUGUUCCCCUGAACAAUCUGCUGGCCAAGCCCUCGAGCCUCAAGCUGACACCGCCAAUCCAAGCCCUCCUCCUUAGACCAGGAAAAGAAGAAUGGCUCAGAUUGAUGACUUUGAUGAUGAUUUGUCACCUCUUCCUGCUCUAAACCCCCGCCGAUCUAAACGAGGACGCUCUACCAUCCGUAGCGGCACACCCUCAACAUGAAGGGGAACAAUUCGGAGCAGACGACAACAGGUAAUCUCCCAUCGCUUCUGCAGCCGAGUCCAAAGUCCAUGAUGGCUCGAGGCCUUCAUUUAAACGGUUAACAAGGUAUGUCACCAAAUUAUCCAAUCUUUCCAUCAUAGUAAAAGAUGAGUAUAAUCCUUGAUCUAUCAGGAAAGCGACGGAACUGCCUCAAGACAAGACACAUCCCAAUCCUCAAGAAAAGAACUCCACCGCCAAUGUUCCUGUUGGUGCCAAGUGCACCAAAGCUCCUUGUGCCCCUAGUGAUUCUACUACUAUAGAGAAGCAAAUUGCGCCCAAAGUGGCAGGCAAGAUUAUUUCUAGCCAAGAGACGCCCAAUGUAGAAUCCACUGUCGCUCCUAUCAUGGAAAAGGCCUUUCCAUAUCUUGGAGUUAUCCUUGGAUAAUUCAUAAUCAAUGCAACCUUCUACAGACCCCAUAAUUGAGGUUUUGCGUGAUAUGAAGGAACCCAUCUCGAAGACUUCUUGGGAUGAGCUCUUCGUGAAAUUUUGAGAGCAUAUCAUAAGAUUAAUCUGACCGAAGACCAACGACAAUUCCAGAAAGCUCGUCAUCAUAUGGCCGAUGUUGGGGCCUUCUUCCUCCGAAGGUCCUCAAAAACGUGACUGACCAUAUGUUUUCAGUAUGACAUGGAUUAUUACAGGGGGCUUCAUCUUCGAGAUGAAGGUCUUCUCUCAUGACAGGGUGAAGAUGUAGCCCGAAUGUGAUAAGAAUGGACGACGAAGCUAUAGCCGAAGAGCUUCGGCUUGAUGUGAUGACGAAGACCAAGUAUGAUGAUGACCGAAAAGGGACAAAGACUACUCAGUCCUUAAUGAUUCGUGUUGUGAUUAUAGAUAAAUGUCAGGGGCAUAAAUGUACUUUUACUCGGGUUGUGUCAUGUGCCUAUAAAUAGAUGAACAGUAGCACCGUACUAUUCAUGUUGACUUGUAAUCACUCUCUUGCGUCCUUGAUGGAAUAAGUCUUGAGCAUCUAGAGGACAACAGUCGCUUUUGACUGUCCUCUGUAGUCCUUUAGCAUCUAGAGGACAGUUUGACUGUCCUCUGUAGUCUCUUUAGCAUCUAGAGGACAAUAGUCGCUUUUUUGACUGUCCUCUGUAGUCGCUUUAGCAUCUAGAGGACAACAGUCGCUUUUGACUGUCCUCUGUAGUCUCUUUAGCAUCUAGAGGACAAUCCUGUUGUGUAGUGUGUGUGAGAAGGUGUGGUAGUGUAGCCUCUAGGGCUAUAAAUAUGGGUCUCCAACCCUUAGAUGGGUAUGGCAUUGCGUAGUGUUUGAGGAAAUAAACAGAAAAUUGCCCCAACUCAUAGUGUCAUCCUCUUGAUGAGUUAGAGUCCCUCUAUUUACAAUUGGUAUCAGAGCCAAACUAUCCUGCAGCCUAAACAUCUCGUGCUCAUCUCCUUCCCGCGCCUUUCCCCACACUCAGUCGGCAGCAAGAGCUCCAACUGUUCCUUCCUCCCCUGCUCAAACGAGCAGCCUUUUGUCUGAAACAGCCUCUUCCACACGCAGCGACCCCUCACUAGCCCACCAUGUCCCUAUGCUCGGCCACUUCGAGUGCGCGGCGCCAGCAGGAGGCCGAGGUCGCCGCGGCGCAAGAACGCGAGCGAGCAGCAGCAGCGGCUGCAGCGACAGCGGCGAGGGCAGCACGGUUGGCGGCGGCGGAACUGGCAGCGGCGAGGGCGGAAGUAGAAGCAGCGGAGGCGGCGGACGCUGCACAUGCGGCGGCAGCAGAGCUCGAGGUUCUGCGCGGCAGUAGAGCUGGCAGCUCUGCUUCUGUCGACGACAACACCGACGAAGAGCUCAGGCUGGCGAGGGAAGCAGCGCGAGAGCAGGCGGCACAGUGGGCAGCCGCGCAUCCCCAUGGGGGCGCGCGUGGCGGCAACCCAGAUAGGCGCCGACGCGCUGACGGCGCUCCGGGCGAGGGCGCACACGGUGGCAGCCCUGAUGGGCAUAGACACGCCGGCGGUGCUCCCGGCGGCGGCGACCGAGUCGACGGAGAUCGCGGCCUCUACAGGCGGCGCGACUCUCCCUCCCCGGAUCGGUACCAUGGUCGCCGCAUGGCCCAGGCCAUUGUCAGGGACAUCGGUCCCGGCGGUGGGUGGCCUACCCUCACCAAGACCAACUACGUCGAGUGGGCCGCGGUGAUGAGGGUACGGCUCCAGGUUCGCCACAUGUGGGAAGCAGUUCGGUACGACGACGUCGACUACCACGAGGAUCGGCGGGCGCUGGAUGCCCUCAUUGCUGCAGUCCCGCCCGAGAUGCAGUUUUCGCUUUCCCAGAAGCGGACUGCCAAGGAGGCCUACGACGCCAUCGCUGCGACCCGCAUCGGCAGCGACCAUGCCCGCAAGACCACACUGCAGACACUUCGCAAGGAGUGGGAGAACCUGGCCUUCAAGCCAGGUGAGGAUGUUGAUGACUUUGCUCUCCGCCUCAACACUCAGCUGCAGAAGAUGGUGCAGUUCGGCGACGACACCUACGAUGAGGAGAGAGCUGUUGAGAAGCUCUUCCGUUGCAUCCCCGAGAAGUACAAGCAGAUUGCUCGCUCGAUGGAGUCUCUGCUAGACCUCUCCACGAUGACGAUCGAAGAGGCGAUAGGUCGUCUCAAGGUGGUCGACGGCGACGAACCACAGGCUCCCUCUGGGCCUAUCACUAUCGGCGGGAAGCUACAUCUCACUCGGGAGCAGUGGGAGGCCUGCCAGGGUGACAAGAAGAAGGGGGAGUCCUCCUCGACACGAGGCCGCAAACGCCGCAAGCAGCGCAAGGCGCGUGGAGGCGCCCAGGUCGGGGCGCGAGGACAUGCUGAGGGUGGUGCACGUGGAGGGGCCCAAGGCGGCGCCGUCGGCAACAAGAAGCCGGCACGAGACGACGGCUGCCACAACUGCGGCAAGCUUGGCCACUGGGCCAGGGAUUGUCGGCAGCCACGACGUGGCCAAGCCAACGUCGCACAGGCGGAGGCGGAGGAGGAGGCCCUGCUCCUGGCACAUGCAAGCAUCGAGCCAUCUCCAGCGGCACCGGCCGCAGCGGCACUCCUCCACCUUGAUGAGUCGAAAGCACGCGCUUUCCUCGGCGACGGCUCCAACAAGGACAUGAUCGAAGGAUGGUGCCUCGACACCAGCGCCACUCAUCACAUGACCGGUCGACGGGAGUUCUUCACCGAGCUUGACUCUAGCGUCCGAGGCUCCGUCAAGUUUGGGGACGCCUCCGGCGUAGAGAUCAAGGGCGUCGGCUCAGUCGUCUUCACCGCACGUAUGGUGAGUACAGGCUGCUCACCAGAGUCUACUACAUCCCCGCGUUGAGGAACUCUAUCAUCAGCUUGGGACAGCUGGAUGAGAACGGUUCGCGCGUGGAGGUCGAGCACGGAGUCAUGAGGAUCUGGGAUCCCUCUCAUCGCCUUCUUGCCAAGGUACACAGGAGUCCAAAUCGGCUAUACAUCCUCAAUGUGAAGGUGGCACAACCUUGCUGCCUUGCUGCUCGUCGAGACGACGGGGCAUGGCAGUGGCACGAGCGCUUCGGGCACCUUAACUUCGAGGCCCUGAAGCGGCUCAGCGCCAAGGAGAUGGUACGAGGCCUGCCGUGCCUUGACCAUGUGGAGCAAUUUUGUGAUGUCUGCGUGUUGACAAAGCAGAGACGGCUCCCUUUUCCCUAGCAGUCGAACUUCCGAGCCAAGGAGAGGCUCGAGCUCGUGCAUGGGGACUUGUGUGGCCCGGUGACACCAGCCACACAAGGAGGACGACGCUACUUCUUGCUGCUCGUCGACGAUCUCUCCCGCUACAUGUGGGUGAUGAUCCUUGGCAGCAAGGGACAGGCUGCGAACGCCAUCAGGCGUGUGUAGGUCGCUGCGGAGGCGGAGUGCGGCCGCAAGCUGCGCGUGCUGCGCACCGACAACGGCGGCGAAUUCACGGCGGCUGAGUUCGCGUUGUACUGCGCGGAUGAGGGCGUUCAGCGCCACUACUCCGCGCCAUACAGCCCGCAGCAGAACGGCGUCGUCGAGCGGCGCAACCAGACGGUUGUGAGGAUGGCUCGGGCUCUCCUCAAGCAGAGAGGAAUGCCAGCUGUCUUCUGGGGAGAGGCGGUGGUGACAGCGGUUUACAUCCUCAACCGCUCGCCCACCAAGGCUCUCAACGGGAUGACACCGUACGAGGCUUGGCAUGGGCACAAGCCGGCGGUCUCUCACCUACGGGUCUUCGGCUGCCUCGUAUUCACCAAGGAGCUUGGCCACAUCAGCAAGCUCGACGAUAGGAGCACCCCAGGGGUGUUCAUUGGCUACGCGGAGGGCUCGAAGGCCUACUGCAUCCUUGACCCAAGAACACAGCGUGUGCGCACGACGCGCGACGUAGUGUUCGACGAAGGGCGAGGAUGGGCGUGGGACAAGGCGGUGGACGACGGCGCGACUCCGACGUACGACUUCACCAUCGAGUACGUCCACUUUGAGGGAGCUGGGGGAGUAGGCAACUCUUCUCCGAGCAGGUCUACCCCAGCCCCCAAGCCUCCACCGACUCCAGCGCCAAACUCUCCAGCUCCUGCUACAACGAGCUCUUCACCACCACACACUCCAGCCACGACUCCGGCUACAGCGAGCUCUUCGCCACCACGUACUCCAGCACCGACGGUACCCUCUCCGGGAACGUCCUCUCUGACACUAGCUCGUGUCGAGCACGACCUAGUGGAGCUCGUGACCCCUCUGUCCCGCGACGAGUAGCGUGUCGACGCGUGCUACGACGGCGAGCCGUUGCGGUAUCAAGGGUGGAGGGCCUUCUCAUCGACCCGUCGGUGCCAGGCCCUGCAUCUCGCAUUCUGGCAGGAGAGUUGCAUCUUGCAUGCGACGAUGGUGAGCCUCGGUCUUUCGCGGAGGCCGAGAAACAUGCGACUUGGCGUGCCGCGAUGCAGUCGGAGAUGGACGCGGUUGAGACGAACCGCACCUGGGAGCUCGCUGAUCUCCCUCAUGGUCAUCGCGCGAUCACCCUUAAAUGGGUGUUCAAAUUGAAGAGGGAUGAAGCCGACGCCAUCAUCAAGCACAAGGCUCGCUUGGUGGCACGCGGUUUCCUACAGCAGGAGGGGAUCGACUUCGACGAUGCUUUCGCCCCCGUGGCACGGAUGGAAUCUGUGCGACUCCUCCUUGCGCUGUCAGCCCAGCAGGGCUGGCACGUUCAUCACAUGGACGUCAAGUCGGCGUUUCUUAACGGCGACUUAAAGGAGGAGGUCUACGUACACCAGCCGCCAGGUUUUGCGAUCCCUGGCAAGGAGGGCAAGGUGUUGCGCCUGCGCAAGGCUCUCUAUGGCCUGCGACAGGCACCGAGGGCGUGGAAUGCCAAGCUGGAUUCCACGCUCAAAGGAAUGGGGUUCACGCCAAGCCCGCACGAGGCGGCCAUCUAUCGGCGGGGCAAUGGAGGAAGUGCCCUGCUGGUGGGUGUCUACGUCGACGACUUGGUGAUCACCGGCGCCAAGGAUGCAGAGGUGGCAGCGUUCAAGGAAGAGAUGAAGGCCACCUUCCAAAUGAGUGACCUGGGGCAUCUCUCCUUCUACCUGGGGAUUGAGGUGCACCAGGGAGACUCCGGGAUCACACUUCGCCAGACCGCCUACGCCAAGCGCAUUGUUGAGCUGGCUGGGCUCACUGACUGCAACCCAGCUCUAACUCCGAUGGAGGAGAGGCUGAAGCUGAGUCGCGACAGCACGACGGAGGAGGUGGAUGCUACACAGUACCGGCGUCUUGUGGGGAGCCUUCGCUACCUCGUCCACACACGGCCUGACUUGGCAUACUCCGUCGGCUACGUUAGUCGGUUCUUGCAGCGACCGACGACGGAGCAUGAGCAGGCUGUGAAGAGGAUCAUCCGCUAUGUUGCGAGGACUCUCGACCACGGUCUCUACUACCCGAGGUGCCCUGGGGAGGCACACCUUGUCGGGUACAGCGACAGCGACCACGCCGGUGACAUCGACACUAGCAAGAGCACAAGCGGGAUCCUCUUCUUCCUCGGCAAGUGCCUCAUUAGCUGGCAGUCGGUCAAGCAGCAGGUGGUGGCCAUGUCCAGCUGCGAGGCCGAGUACAUAGCGGCGUCCACUGCUUCGACUCAGGCGCUCUGGCUGGCUCGACUGCUCGGUGAUCUCCUCGGGAGAGACACUGGAGCGGUGGAACUCAGCGUGGACAGCCAGUCCGCUCUGGCAUUGGCCAAGAACCCCGUGUUCCAUGAACGGAGCAAGCACAUCCGGCUGAGAUACCACUUCAUCCGAGACUGCUUGGCAGAAGGGAGCAUCAAGGCGCGUUACAUCAACACUAAGGAUCAGCUUGCAGACCUGCUCACCAAGCCCCUUGGGAAGAUCAAGUUUGUUGAGCUUUGCUCCAGGUCCGGGAUGGCCCAACUUUCUUACAAGACGACGCCCAAGACUUAGGGGGAGAAUGAUGGAAUAAGUCUUGAGCAUCUAGAGGACAACAGUCGCUUUUGACUGUCCUCUGUAGUCCUUUAGCAUCUAGAGGACAGCUUGACUGUCCUCUGUAGUCUCUUUAGCAUCUAGAGGACAACAGUCACUUUUUUGACUGUCCUCUGUAGUCGCUUUAGCAUCUAGAGGACAACAGUCGCUUUUGACUGUCCUCUGUAGUCUCUUUAGCAUCUAGAGGACAAUCCUGUUGUGUGGUGUGUGUGAGAAGGUGUGGUAGUGCAGCCUCUAGGGCUAUAAAUAUGGGUCUCCAACCCUUAGAUGGGUAUGGCAUUGUGUAGUGUUUGAGGAAAUAAACAGAAAAUUGUCUCAACUCAUAGUGUCAUCCUCUUGAUGAGAGUUAGAGUCCCUCUACUUACAGUCCUCACCUUCGAGCAAGCCGAAGGUAUCAAUGUAAUACGAAUUCUGUUAAUAUUCAUACAUGUUUUAUAGAAUGCAAAUAUGAACGAGUCAACAAGAUGCAGUUAUUGUCUUCAUUCUUAUGCGUUCUUAUUCAUAUAUUAAAUGAUGAAGGUAUGUCCUUAUUGACCUUCGUCUGAUAAGCAUUAUAUCAUGUGGAGAUAAUGCUUUGGAAGACGAAGGUCUGUAAUAAUUAACAAUUAUGUUGCCUUGUUCUUGACCUACAGCAUUUGAGAAUAAGUGAACAACAGUCGAGUUCUCUCAGCUGCAACAAGUAAAUUAGCAUGUCAACAUUUAUCUUGUGAAUUUCUGUUUUUGACAAUAUUGCCCUUCAACAGAUUUUGAAUGAAUUAGAGGAGAAGUCUCUUCUUCUGUUAAUCCAAAAGAAACUGCAAGCAACUGAGAUGACUCGGCAUAACCUUGAGCAAGAGAAGAAAUAUAGUUCUGAGCUUACACACACGUUCAAACGUUAUGUGAUCAGUUUGAGGCAACCACGAUCGAGUUGGAAAGUAUGUAGCUGAGCCUUUCGAUUUCUUCUGAGUCCUCUAUGUGUCUAAUAAUUGACUCCUUCUUAUAGCUUACAAGGCCAACAACAUUGUACUCAAAGUAGUAAAGGCUCUCCAAGUUGAAAGAUAAAACUUUAGACAUGAGGAAGUCAUUGACUACAUACAAAAACAACCUAGAUCAAGGCGGAGUCGCUGUCAAAGAUUUGACUGAGUUGGACUCGACCAACAAAGCCAAAGAUCUUGCCCUAGCAACCAUGGCAUGACCUCUCCAUAGUUCCCAUAAGCAACCAUGGCACGCACAGUUUCCGGCUAAGUUAGGUAUGACUAGGAUUAGGAGAUCCAAUCAAUUGUCUCCUUUCAUGGUUGUAAUAUAUGAUACAUACACACAGAGAGAGAGAGAGAGAGAGAUAGAGAUGCUAUUCGUCACUCUAGGUGAUGAUCACCCACCUUGGAGAAUGACUUAAACAAAUUUAAGUUAUUUGUGGUCUUUAUAAGUCAUUUUAGGGUAGGUGAUCAUCACCUAGGGUGACAAAUAGCACUGCUCUAUAUGUGUGUGUGCGCGCGCGCUCGCGCCGGUUAUUCAUUGCCUGAGAAUCUGAGAUAAGCUUUACGCUUUCAUUUAUUUGUGUAAUCCGACUUUAAGGUUUGAUGUCUAGUUUUACAAAGCAUAAUUGAUAUAACUUUCCCAUAUGGUAUAAAGAAACAAUUGAGAAGCACACAUACAUAUGGAAAACAUCACAUCUGGAUUUGAAUUGUCAAAUAAAAUUUCAGAAAGAGAAAAAUGUAAGAUGAAGAUACACUUACAUGUAUAAUGAGCACAGGACAUGUAACUUGAGGGAUUUUAUCAAUAUUCUAGAAGCAAAUAAACAAUAGAGAAUUGUCAGUGUAAAAUAGAGGUAGAGAAGGACAUGAGGUUGCUAUACUUCAGGUGCCUGAAUUUUUAGAAAUUUCUAGGCAACAAUCAUACACAGACAACUAGUACAACUAAAAGGACAACUCAUAAGAGACAGUUUACUUUUUUCUUCUAUAGCCAAACAAUGACAAAAUUGCAUGUCGCCUGAAUAACAAAAAAUCAGGCACCUGAGAUAUAGAAGCGGAUAACUCAAUAUUGAAUGCCGCAAUUAACAGAUGACGACAAACCUUGUAGAUGUCAAACCAAUAUGUGCGCUUCACAGGAUACAUAACUCUCAGCCCUGACAAUAUAGGACUAUGCAGGACAACAGCUCGCAGCUGAGAUAAACGACUGGCCAAAUCUACAGUAGGCCCACUUCCAACAGAUUGUCCAUAAAGAAUUAUUUCUUCUUCCUUGGCACCAAAUUUCUCUAUGAGGCACUUGUAAGCUGCCUCUAUGUCAGCAUAAGUAUUGUGUUCACUCGGCUAAAAUGGGACAGCGCAAACACUCAGCAAAGUAGACACUUAGUUUUGUUAUGAAAAAUAACAUUGUUCAACUUCAAGAUUUGAUCAUACCUUUCCUGAUGAUUGCCCAUAUCCUGAAUAGUCAUACCUGCAUAAUUUCAAAGCUACUAUUAGCCUCUGAUGACAGGAAAAUCAAGUAACAAGUUACAUAAGAUGUAUUGUUUACAAAGUAACAUAUUUUCCUCAAAUGCAUGAUGCAUUGAUUACAAUGUAAAACAUUUUUUCCCUCGAACACGCAGGAGAUAUGCAUGUCAUUACAUUAGAGAAGAAUGAAGAUUACAAACCCACACACAUACACCUAACACAAACCACUGCUAACAGCAACACACAUCACAAAACGAAAGAAUCGAUAACCAAAAUAUGUGCAGUGGGUUCCUAAAAUGGCAUCCAGAGGAUGCAGAACUGGUGAACCCUGGCAGCACACACCGCAAAAGCCCCUCCCUCCUCAUAAUAAUGCUCACGCUCAGAGUGGCGUAGUUGAACACUAGGUCAUUAAGAUGUUUCCAGUUUACCAAGCUACGAUGAUCAAACUGUUGGACCUUUUCCUGUAAGCCUUUCCAAUAAGAUUGGUCACGCAACAACACAAUCUGGAGAAAACAUCCCAUGUCCAACUGAAGCCACACAGCAACCCAAUUUUCUUGAAGAUGACAAACCACACUCGUUGAACCACCACACAAGAGACAGGCAAACACUGAAUUCAUUGGCUUCACCACAGAGGGAAGAGGAUGCUGGGUGAGCCAAGGCAAGCUAUGCUUGAAAACUUAUCCAUGGUCCAACAUCGAUUAAGCACAGCCAGCAUGUGCUCUUUAUCACAUACAAUCAUCA